CCUUGUGUAUGUUGGCGUGAUGACGAGAGAAAGGAAAUGCCCUGGAACAAUAGCUGUCCGUAGCACACCCUGCAAUGACUUCGACCAGCGGACCAGCCUAUCCAAUACCCUACGCCAUGACCUUAGAAGUUCGUACCCCAUGAUAUUCAAUGACACCCGUAGACAUUUGAUCAUUCAUACCUCACAGUACGCUUUCUUUCUUUUUUUUGGACUUUGAAUUCCAAGCGAAGGAAGCUCAGUGAAAGAUAGACUGGGAUUUGACAGCAAGAAGAAAGCAAUCAUAGUACGCGGCACACACCGCUGACGAAUGAGAUUGACGUCCCAAACCAACACAGGUUCAAGACUAAGUGCAGAACCAAGAAUGUCGUGGAUAGAAAAGUGAGUGCUUCCUCAAGCUUCAUGAAGGAAGGGUCCAAGGACCUAAGCGACAACCUCUAUGAAAAAGAAAAACCUAUAUAUAGAUAGUGGUAUGUGUUCGCUGACACUAAAUAGACUUGGCUCGGGGCAGAACUGAGUGGCUAGGCUAAGUUCCCUAGUCUUCUAUUGGCCUACCCACCCCUACGACAUGGAGGCGCUUACCCUUCUCCAACAAGCGUUCCACCACGCGGCGAUUGAUUACCGCUUUCCGUCUCAAUCCGUUCCAGACCAAGCCCCUUCUCUGAUCGGGGGAAGGUCAUUCUAAAACAUCAGAUCUCCCAUUGAUGCUGAUCAAAAAUAAGUUUAUCCACCUAGAAUAUAUUCUAGGUACCGAAAGAUUGGAUGUCAUUUCUCAACACCAGGCGGGACGAGCAGCCCUAUACCACGUGUAGCCACACUCUAGUGUCCUUUUCUACUUAGUUGGACAGAUCACUUCAGAAAAUCGUAUAAAAAUCAAGCAAGAAAACGGAUGCGCUAACGCGCAAUGGAUUUCGCGCUAGUUGCUCAAAAAAUCGUAUAAAAAUCAAGCAAGAAAAAGGUUCUGGCAGGCUGCGUGGGACUGUAAAUCCUCUUUCGCUGGCUGGGCCCUUUGGACUCGAAAUCCAAACGGAGUGAGUGGUUCGAUUCCACUCUCAGAACGAGACUGAACGAAAGAAAAUGCAAGUGAAACGAGACGAGAAUCAAAUUGUAGGCUUCUUUCCUAAAAGCGGUGGUUCUCGCCUCCCCGUGCCCAAAGCGGGGUGGGCGACAGCGCUGCGGUUCUUUUCUUUAUCGAUCGGUCGUGACGCCUUUUCCUUUUGUAUGAGAAAGCGCUACAAAACAUCCUUCUCGCGGGUUAUCUUCUACUCAAGCAAGCUCUCUCCUAUUCUUCAUCCACCAACUAGCAGGAACGUAGGAGCACAAGAGGGUCAUCAUCUUCUGAAACGAUUGGCUUUCGAUCUGCUUUCCAAGAGGUGGUUUCUGACAUGACCAGAAAGAGUGGAAUUCUUGUUAGGAUUGGCAUGUCAAGUUGCUUUCUCGGACCCUAACAUAAACCACCUUAUCCUCACUCAGAUUGUUCUUUUGGACUGAGCAGAAGCACGACCUCUAUCUGACGUUUUCUCUAUCCCUUCUAAUCUCUCAAUGGCAUUUCCAUCUCUCGAUUCAAUCAAUCAAGUAAGUCCGGAUGACACUUGUCUUUAUUUAGUGUUUCCCCGGCUAUUCAGCCAUUACUUGCAUCUCAGGUUCUUUGUACCCUUUUUUAGUGCCAUGCACACUGAGGUUUCUGGCAUGACCGAAUCUUUUGAGAAUAUCGCUUAUUACGUUAAUUUCUUCAUCUUGAUGUACUCAAUCCAUUCAAAUUCCAUAAUUCCAAUGCUAUAGUGCCGUUUUUGAGUUCCUGUUUAACGACGAUGCAAGUGUAUUUCAGCAGUGGAUGUUCCCUUCUUUUGUUUUUUGAUUUACAUGUUUUGGCUCGCUUUCGUCUUUUUCUGCGGCUAACUAGUAUAGAAAAUCCAAGUGGACGUUGUUCUUAAACUCCAUAAGGAUUAGAAGGUGGUUCUACCUCGUUGGAUGGCAUUCGUAAGCAGCUAUGAUAUUUCUUAUCUUUGAUUAAGCGAAGCGACCUGGGAUCUUUCAAGGAAUGAGAUCCGGGUAUAUAGUCAUGAUCUAGUGUUUAAGGAUUUUAUGACUGACCUCCUUAUGAGUCAUUUUCUUUACAAUGAAAUUCCGUUAGCUCUGUUUCCUCGCUUCCUCCGGCAAAAAGAGGAUAAUCGGUACCCCGCUGCUUGAUCCUCUCCCNNNNNNNNNNNNNNNNNNNNNNNNNNNNNNNNNNNNNNNNNNNNNNNNNNNNNNNNNNNNNNNNNNNNNNNNNNNNNNNNNNNNNNNNNNNNNNNNNNNNCCGAGUCUUGGGUUUUGUUUGGCCAACUAGAUCUAUGAUUCUUGCAAUGGGAGAAGUGCUUGGUUUUGGGUUCUACCAUGUGGUGACCUUUCCCAGUGACAGUAGGGGCAGCAAGGCACACAUCAAGUAGUUGCCAUCAAGGGUAAAAAGAUGGGGUUUUAUCAUUGGUUUGAGAUUAUCCCUCUACGUCAUGUCAUCUUUCUUAAGGCGUUACUCUGUUCUAAUGGACUUAAUACACUAGAUGCAUGCUGGAUAGCGGUCGACGUGUGGAGUAAUAGUAGUAGAUGCAGAAACUAUCGGUCUACUUGUUUUGGACGUGAUGCCUAUAGAAAUUAUCAUUGCAUAGGUAUCGUCACGACUUUGCGCGGUUCUAUCAAUUGCUCGACAGUAAUUUGUUCACCCACCGUCUACUUGCUUUCAUGAGAGAAGCCACUAGUAAACACUACGGCCCCCGGGUCUAUUCACAUCCAUCGUUUACAUCUCCGCUUUUACUUUGCUUUGUUACUUUGUUGCUUUCAGUUCUCACUUGGCAAACAAUCUNNNNNNNNNNNNNNNNNNNNNNNNNNNNNNNNNNNNNNNNNNNNNNNNNNNNNNNNNNNNNNNNNNNNNNNNNNNNNNNNNNNNNNNNNNNNNNNNNNNNAUUGAUUGUUGUCAUUUCUAUCGGUAGGCUCCGCACCCCCGGAUUCCACCGAAUAUCCGUCUGACGGAUAUUGUCCCUCCUCUGAGCAACAAGGCAAGCAACCAUUUUGAUCAUCCCGAUAAAUCCCAUAUUCUUGCUCCUGCACUUAUUUAUUGCAUUAGGAUCAAAUUCAAAUAGCCGAACCCCUAAACCCACUUCCUUUGCAUGACCUAUCCUUGUCACAGUAAAUAGCCGAACCUUGCAACCUAGCAAACCUGGUAGUUGCUUGAGCCAUGAUGUGCCUUAUCCUGCUAUGCAUGCUAUGCUUAGAUUUGUGUAUGGUCUGUCAUCUGGGAGAUGAAUACAAUUGUGAGAAUGUGUUCGGUAAGCAAAGGUUGUGUGUUAAACUUGAGUUGGUAAAGGUACCGGCGAAAGGCUGUGUAGGAGUACAUGGCGGGUUGUUUCAUUGGAACCGUCCUUAGGAACUGAGUUCCGUGUAUGUAAACCAAGACUAGAUACUACCACAUGCUGGGCCCUGAAAUAUGACCCCGCUCGGCCUAUUAAUCGCUUAGUACUCGGUCCAGGAGUUGCAAGUAGUUUCUGGUGUUUAUAGUAAUGCUGGAGGCCGUGCAUGGUGCUGACAUGAGAGGUGGGCCGUGAUGCGGUAGGCAGUGGCACGGUGUACCAAGUGGCACCCGGAUGGUGGGCUUGGGAACCCUGCGCACAUCGUUUGAAUCCGUGGCGGAAACCUCGGCCGGACUUCCGUACGGGUUACUCUCAGAUAGGCGAUAAACCUGGACUAGGUACUAGUGUGGUUAACGGUCGUGGCCGACUCCCUCGCUGGGCUUCCGCUUGAAGGUUGCCGAGGUGCAUGACGUGCACAUGGCGAUAAGUGGUGAGAGGAUGUGUGACAAAGUACACCCCUGCAGGGUUACGAUCUAUUCGAAUAGCCGCGUCCGCGGCUAUGGACUACUUGGAGACAUAUGUUGUUCAUAGAUAACUGCAAUGGCUACUCAUAAAAUUGUCAAGAUAAGCGUGAGUGUCGUGGACGGCAUUUCCGUAUGGAGACGGAAUGAUUCCACGUUGGUGUAUUGUUGUGGUGGUUAGUGGACUCGUGUGCGAGAAAUCAAGUUGUCAAAAUGAUUUAAAAAUGCAAGUUGUCUAGCCAUGAGUCAAAUGCUGGCUUUCCGCAUGAAACCCCACAAUACCUUAUUGAUACCUUGCAUGAGUAGAUAGUUAUCCUAAAGUCUUGCUGAGUACCUUCGUACUCAUGUUUGCUUAAUAAAUGUUGCAGAGGUUGCUAAUGACCCUAAUGGAGGGUUCUUCGUAGACAUCGACGAUGACGAGUAGCUGGUGUCCCAGCUACGAUCUGGCCCUAGGUUGGGUCUGUAGUAUAGUCACGCCAUGUGCCUUCUAGUUGCACCUGUCUGUACUCAGACAGUUUUAAACUCUUCCGCUGGCUUGUAACUGAAUGACUGUUAUUAUGGGUUGUGAGACCCUUAAUGUGUAAUAUUAUGUGUGAGGCUCUUCCGAGGCUCUUAAAUAAAGUUUGUAUGUUAUGGUUAUGUUGUGAUUCCAUCGAUGUAUCUAUACAUAUCGGUAUGCCAUGCGUACUGUGUUGUACUUGAUAUGUAUGGGGUUCGAUUACCUAGUCGUCAACUUUAGUAGCACUCCUUACAAGGAAAUGCCCCUUUGUGAUCCAAUGAGCCAUGGUACUUCGCUACAGCCCCGGACACAUUGGUUGACCGGCAUGUGUCCUUCUUAGCUGCUGUGUCUGUCCCCUUUGGGGAAACGUCAUGCGAUGUAAUGGAGUCCUUGUAGCUUGCUACGACUCGUCUACACUCGCUGGUGACCGACACCUGCUUUGUUGGGUCAUGUAUGCUUGUCCUUGUGCGGUACUGCCACUUUGGUUUGUGACUAGAAUUGUCGAUCCGGGUUCUUUGACAUUGGAAUGCUAGCGACACUGUUGCAUACGUGAGUCAAAAGACGCAAACGAUCCCUGCUAAGGUAAGGCUGCAGCCGUGGAGUUAACCGUGCGUGAGACCACAAAGAGAUGCGAUGUGUUACAGGCUGGAUUCCUAUGACUUAGGAUCGGCGUCCCGACAGAAAAUCCCCUGGAUCCACCCUGGUGGCAGCGGAGUCUGACCUGGCUUCCUCGCCUUGCCGCCCUUCUUGGCGUGCUCGAGUUUGGAGGUCUUGUUCUUCAGCAUAGUCGCGACGAUGGGGAAAAUCCUAAGAAAAGCUUGCAGGACGAAGGUGGAGAAGAAGAAGCAGGAAACGAUCAAGGAAGGCACAACCUUAACCCUAGCGCCAGCCGCAUUUAUAUAAUCGACCGACUGUGUCACCGACUGGUGGGUCCCCCAGAUCUCAGCUUAUCCCGAUAUCAGAGGAGACGUGACGCGUGGCGAUGAUGAUGGUGUGAUAAUCAAGGCGUCAUUGCUCCACUUGCCCUGCCAGUUGUGUCAUCCCCGUGAGGCACGCAGAAACCAAAAUCUGGAAUCCCGUGAAAUCUGGGCCUGCCUCAGUGAUCCGUCCCAUGAAAAUAUCCCGUCAGUCACUCGGAGUAACUCUAAGCAUCUAAAAUCACUCAGAAAAACUUCACAACAGAAUCGAUCGAGGAGAGUGACGAAGAUUUCAGUCGGCACGAAGUUUCAUCCAUCCCAGGAAAAUGACAAAGGUCAGUGUGGUUCGACAAGAACUCACAUCAACCCCUUCGUCAGUCGAACCCCGAUCCAUUCGGGGGCUAAUGAUGGGGAUAUGUACCUAGGGUAGGGUCACAGGCCUGACCUAAAUGUCCUACCCAAGGGUACCUCAUUAUUAGGCCAAAGGUCACACAGAAGAUUCCGACUGAAUGUACAUGGCACCAACCAGUCACUCAAUACACGUAUAUUAUUUAAAUGCCUUUCUGUGAUGCCACAAAUGGUCUCUUAUGAAGGAAAGUUAUUCUUAUUGCUUUCAAAAUAUUUGAGAAAAUUUAGGGAAACCCAGUGGACAUAUAUAUUUCAUAUAUAUGAGUUUAAUCACAUGGUCAUGUUCAAAAUAUUGGGCAAACCCCUUCAAAACCCUUCCUGCCUAUUUCAAACUUUUGGAAUAUUUCUAUAAGAAAUGUUCUCCAUUUAUUCCUGUAAAAUUCUACCAUGUCACAUAUGAUAUAUGUGAUGAUCUUGCCAAUUUAGCAACUCUACAUUGCCAAGUGUCUCCAAUUGUGCUCAAAUUUGGUGGACAAGUUUUGAUACUCCAAUAAUGCAUCCACACCAAGUGGUGCAUCAAGGAGAAUAGAAGAACUUGUCCCAAGACCCUCAAAACCCUCCCUGUUGAUUUCAGACUUUGGGAAACUUUACAUUAUAAAGUUUCUCGAAUUGACCCCCAAAAUUUUUGGGCAUGCUUUAAUGCUCAAAUAAUGCCCCCACACCAAAUACUGGAUUUGUGGGAAUAGAUUUGAAUAGCUUUGUAAGCAGAAGGCCACUUCUGCCCAUUUCAUGGGUUUUCCAAGUCUACAUUGGAAAUCUUCUCCACCAAAUCACAAAUUUGGUGUCCAAGCUUAUUUUCAUUUUUUUGAUGCCGUUAAGUUUCAUAUCCAUUGAUGUCCAUAUGGUUGCCGUGACACUCAUCAAACACCUUGUGUGCACUCAAUUUAUUGGCUAGUUUGACCCCUUCCACUUUCACCCUUGAGCUCAACUUUCUACCACAGCCUCUCCUAGUUACCUUUUUACUCCAGUAGCUUUGCCAUGGCAACUAAACAAUUAUUGGAGAGAUGCCCGUUGUAGCUACUUCUCAUUUUACGCUUGGAAUCAUCAUUUUUACUCCUCUUGCCCCACUUCUGUUUAAGCCAAAGCCCCCAUCUCUUUCCAGAGAGCCCCUAGCAUCCCAAGGCAUCAUUUCAAACCAAGAUAUGAUAUACUCAUGUGGAGAAAAUGAGCAGCACAUCUGCAAGUUGAAUUGUGGCUGAAAUGUAGCUUUGUACACCAAUUACUAGCUACCCUCCUUUGAUUGAUCUCAGACUUGGCAUUGUGGUAGUCCUUCCAUGAAUAAGACUAGUAGUCCUUCCAUGAAUAAGCUUUGCAAGAAAUGUGACUUAGGAAUUGGUCACGGGAUCUUGUAUUACGAUACAAGUAAAGAGACUUGCCGGUAACGAGAUUGAACUAGGUAUGGAGAUACCGACAAUCGAAUCUCGGGCAAGUAACAUACUGAAGGACAAAGGGACCAACAUAUGGGAUUAACUGAAUCCUUGACAUAGAGGUUCAACCGAUAGAGAUCUUCGUAGAAUAUGUAGGAGACAAUAUGGUCAUCUAGGUCCCGCUAUUGGUUAUUGACCGAAGAAUGUCUCAGGUCAUGUCUACAUAGUUCUCGAACCCGCACAGUGUGCACACUUAAGGUUCAAUGACGUUUCGCUAUAGUUGAGUUAUAGGUGUUGGUGAUAGAAGGUUGUUUGGAGUCCUGGAUGAGAUCCUCGAUGUCGCGAGGAGCUCUGGAGUGGUUCGGAGGUAAAUAUUGAUAUAUAGGAAGUCCUGUUUUGGUCACCGGAAAAGUUUCGGGCUCAUCGGUAGUGUACCGGGAAUGCCGGGAGGGUAUCGGGGACCAUCGGGAGGGGUGUCAUGCCCCGAGGGGCCUCAUGAGCUCUGGGAGGAGACAAACCAGCCCCUAGUGGGCUGGUCUAAGCCCCCACUAAGGCCUAUGAGGUUUGAGAAGGAAAAAACAAAAAGGUUGAAGAGGAGGAAAGGGUUUCCAAGUGGUGAUGAGGAAUCCUACUACUAGUAGGAUUGGAGUAGGAAUCCUCCACCUCUAAUUUUGGCCGAACCUUGAGGGUGUGAGGCUUCCUCCUCCCCUCCCUCCCUCCUAUAUAUACUAGAGGAAUUAGAGGCAGCCCUAACCAUAAUUGCCACGUGCUCCCUCUACUUCUCGCUAGGUCUGUUUCUCCUCUAGUCUAGUUCGGUAGUGCUUAGGCGAAGCCGUGCUGGAUUAGUGCACCACCACCACCACCGCGCCACCGUGCUGCAUAACUCAUCUAUCUCUCCACCCCUCUUGCUGGAUGAAGAAGUCGGGGAUCGUCAUCGAGCUGUACUUGUGUUGAAUGCGGAAGUGCCGUCCGUUCGGCACUAGAUCGGGAUAGAUCGUGAUGGGAUCGCAGGACAGAUCGUGAUGGGAUCACAGGACAGAUCGUGAUGAGAUCGCGGGAAGGGCUGCGAUUUGGAUCGCGAAGAUGUUCCACUACAUCAACCACAUUAUAUACGCUUUCACUUAACGAUCUGCAAGGGUAUGUAGAUUCACUCUCCCCUCUCGUAGAUGAUCAUCACCAUGGAUAGGUAUUGCGUGCGUGUAGGAAACUUUUUGUUUCCCAUGCAACGUUCCCCAACACUUCCCCACACUUCCACCAAGAGAAAAUUUGUUCCCCCCAUUAAUCCCUCGCGGAUCUUGUUACUCUUGGGUGUUUGAGCACCCUAGAAGGAAUAUGUCACCACGAAGCCAUACUCCAUUAUGGUGAAGCUUCGUGAUCUCGUUGGGAGCCUCCAAUUAAGUUGUGGAGAUUUCCCCAACCUUAUUUGUAAAGGUUCAGUCACUGCCUUCAAGGGCACCACUUAGUGGAAUCACGACACCUCGCAUUGUGUGAGGGCAUGAGGAGAAUAUGGUGGCCUUAGCGGCAUCUUGGGGAGCAUUGUGCCUCCACACUGCUCCAACAGAGAUGUACUUCGCUUCAAAGGGAUGGAAGUUUGGAAACAUAUCCUAGUCUUCAUCGGUCCACUUGUGGUUAUUUCUCACCUUUACUUAUAUUUACUUCUUGCUUAUUAUUGUUAUUGUUAGCAUCAUAUAUCUUUCUCACUUAGUUGCAUAUCUAGACAACCUAUUUGUUGCUAAAUCUAAUUUGGUUAAAGAAAAGUUUAAAACUGUUAGUUGCCUAUUCACCCCCCUCUGGUCAACAAUAUCAAUCCUUUCAGUAACCAAGUAGGAAACCUUCAUGAGAUUUAGGAGCAAAUUUUAAAUGACAAUGGUUAUCAAGAAUGUAGCACUUUGAGAAAAAUACCCGAAAGUAUCCAACUUAGGGUUUGUUACCUAUGAGUAGCUUGUAUGUCAUUUGAGUGAGAAUCUUGUGUAGGUAGAGUCAGUUUGUUCCAUGACAAGUUAUUUCCACGGCUUUUGCCCAAAAGAGUCUUGGUGUCUUGUAUUCGUCGAGCAUCAUUCUAGCCAUCUCUAUGAGAAUCCGGUUCUUCCUCUCAAUAUCUUCAUUUCUUUGAGGUUAUACGUAGCCGAUAAGUCAUGUGAUAUAACUUCUUCAUCAAGAAAGGUGUCCACAUUGGUGUUCUUGAACUCCGAUUCAUUGUCGCUCUGAACUUUCUUAAUCUUCACUUGAAAAUAAUUUUGGAAUUUCUGAGCGAAGUUCUUGGAGAUCUUUUGUACACGAUAUUUUUCAUCAAGAAAUAAUACCCAUGUAAAUAUGGAAAAAUCAUCAACUGUAACUAUGCCAAUAGAAUUUCCACCGAGGAUCUUGUAGGCAUUGGAACCAAAGAGAACCAUCUGAAGCAGCUCGAGUGGUCUCCUAGUAGUGAUGAUGUUCUUCGCAGGAUGACUUCCACCUACUUGUUUUCCUUCUUGACAAGCACUAAAAUGUCUACCUUUGUCAAAUAUAACAUCUUUAACACCAAGUAUAAGAUUGGCUUUGAUAAGCUUGUCUAGAUUACGGAUACCAACAUGUCCUAGCCUUAUAUGCCAUAGACAACCUUUAGAUGAUUUUGCAAUAAGAAAAGUACAAUGUUUGGCUCUUUUAGUGAAAUUGACAAUAUAUAGAUCACCUCUAUGAAAGCCAGUGAAUACCAUGUUAUCUUUAUCUUGUCGAAACACUUGGCAAUCAACUUUUGUAAAUAGCACACUGAAACCAAAUUGAGCUAGUCUAGAUACGGAAAGAAGAUUGUAGCCAAGGGAUUCAACAAGCAUGACAUUUUGAAUAGAACUAUCAUGAGAUAUGACCACCUUAGCAAGACCUAGUACCUUACCCUUGGAGGUGUCUCCAAAAGUCACAUACCUUCGUGGUCCAUGGUUUGGUGUGAUAUCUUGAAACAUGCCUCUAUCUCAAGUCAUGUGAUCGGUUCAUUGAUACGUCUUCAACGUAUCUAUAAUUUUUGAUUGUUCUGUGCUAUUAUGUUAUCGUUCUUGGAUGUUUUAUAAUCAUUUUAUAGCAAUUUUAUAUCAUUUCUUGUGACUAACCUAUUUACAUAGUGCCUAGUGCCAGUUGUUGUUUUUUCCUUCACAGAAAAUCCAUAUAAGACGAGGCCAAUUACCACGAAACUUUACGAAGAUUUUUUUGUACAAGAAGGAAACUUGGAGGCCAAGAAUGAGCAGCAACCAAGGCCCAACAAGCCCACUAGAGACCACAGCCCGCCAUAGGCCGCCGGCGCGGCCUGGUGUCCAAUGGGGCCCUCCCGAACCUUCUGCACCACCUCUCAGCUCAAUAAAAAACCCAAUAUUCCAGAAACCCUAGAGGAGUUGACUAAAUAUCGUUUCAGCCGGUGCAAGUUCGAGAGCUACGAAAACCAACGUAGAGCCUUUUCCAGAAAAGAACACGAUCAUGGAGGGGUUCACCAUAUCCAUUGGUGUUCCUCCCAUGAUGCGUGAGUAGUUCAUAUUGGACCUACGGAUCCGUAGGGAGUAGCUAGAUGGCUUUCUCCCUCGUUAUGUUUCUCAAUACAAUGGUCUCUUGGAGAUCCAAAUGAUGUAACUCUUUGUUUUUGAAAGUGCAUUAUAUCGACUAGAGGGGGGUGAAUAGGCGAUUAUUAGAAUUUCAUCGCUGAGGAAAUUCCUUGUGAGGAAAGUCCUCAAUGACGCAUUAAGUGAAGUGGAAAUAGCGCAGGAUCAGGUGUGGAAAAACUUCAGUAGCAUAUGACUUGUUGAGGAUAAUGAGAAUCGAUUUGCACAAUUCGCAAGUACAGAGUAAGCAGGUGAAGAUUAUCUUAAGUGAAGAAUUUGGGGUUGAGGAAAUUCAGACGAAGUCUUCAAACAAAUUCUUCAACAAUGCAUAUCAAAGUCUUCAACAUAGAAUUCGAGGAAAUGAAAGAGUUGAAGAAAUAGAACCCGUAUCACGAUGAAGACAGUUGUUGAUGACCCAAUUCCAACUGCUCUGACAGUUGUACGUCUGGUUUGGAGCGGCUUGGUAUUGAAACCAAAGGACACACAGUCCCUACCGUAUUCUCGUUGAGAUAAGGACACAUAGUCCUCACCCAACACUCGUGGUAAGUCUUCAGGGUAGACUUCCAAACCCUCACAAACUCGGUCACUCGGCGAUCCAAAAUUGAUUGGAGGAUGCUGUAGACCAUGACGCCUAACCAUCUGGAGGAUGCACAAUCCACAAAGGUAAACGACUUCAGUUCCACACACGAACAAACUCUUCAGUGAUGCUCAGUCAUUUGGUUUUUGGUUUGGGGUUGGUUGUUUGGGGUAUUUCCUCACUCGAUGGUUUUCUCUCGAAGACUCUGAGGAAUUUGGGUUGCUCUAAAUGACAAGUGUUAGUUUUUCUCGGAGCAGCCAAGCAGAUAGUGGUUAUGAGGGCCGCUAUUUAUAGCCUAGGAGCAUCGCGACAUGAUUUUACAUAAAUGCCCAUAAAUAAUGUGACCGUUGGGUGGAUAAGAUCAGUGAGGUGGCGCGUUGCGCGACAACGGUCGGAACUUUCAACUGUGAAAGUCCUCAUGUCUCUCAUAUUCCUCACUUUGAGGCUUUGGUAGAUUUAGGCUUGGGUUGAGCAUCAUGAGGAAAUUCAUUUCUUAGUAUUACUUCGACCCCCUUUAACAGUAUGGUGUUCCUAUGACUCAAGAGUAAAGAAAAUGAAACACAAAGAGUAAAUCUUCAUGCUUCAAAGUAUUCAGACAAUUUUUCUUCAGGACACACCGAAUUCCUCAUCUUUAAUAUCUUCCUGAGGAAUAUCAAUUUCAUCGUCAUUUCUUUGCGAUCAAAGUCUUCAAGGUAAGACUAAAGUCUUCAACCAAAGACAUACAUUUUUAGGGGUCGAUAUUCAUCGUAUAACUCAAACUCCUCAGCGACAUAAAGAGCUUGUGUACACUUACAAACACAUUAGUCUCUUAACCUAUAAGUCAUCAAACCACCAAAAUCACUAAGGGCACUAGAUGCACUUACAAUCUCACCCAUUUUGGUGGUUGAUGGCAAUUAGGUUAAGUUUUCAAUGCGGAUAAUAUUAUGAAAUGUAAGUACUAAGUUUGAGGAAUUUGAAAUCAAGAUACCAAGAGACUCCCCCUGAAGAUGUGCAUAUUUUGAGGAAUUUGUUUUGCACAGCACAUGCACAUUGAUGAUUUAUAUCAUGGAGAUCUCCCCCAGUAUCUUGUAAAUCAUGCAUACAUUUGACAUAUAAUAUGAGGAAUUGAAAAUCCAUGAUAAAAAAUUGUAACACCCUCUGCUUAGCUUUCCUGACUAAUUAACUUAUUUCAAAAAUUAGGACCAAUUAAAUUUUUUGUGAAUGCUUGUUUGUUUAGUUGCUUGCUUGUAUGCGUGUGGUUGAUUCUCAAUAAUUCCUGUUACUCUCUAGACUCACCUCGUUAGCCCAAAACUCCUACCUAAUGAUCAUGCCAUGUGUUUAGGACGAAAAACUAUUUUUACCAAAUAUUAUUUUCACCAAAAAGCUUUUCUUUGAAUUAAGCUUUCAAAACCCCUAAGAUGGGAUUUGUACUACAAGUCCACAAAUUAGGGAAUUUAUUUUGCACCAAUUAUUUUAUUUAAAACCUAUUAUCAAAAUUACUUCCCAAAACCACAAUAUUAAUAUUUAAAAAUAAUUUUUCUAUUUUAUUUAAAUGCCUUUCUGUGAGGCCAGAAAUGGUCUCUUAUGAAGGAAAGUUAUUCUUAUUGCUUUCAAAAUAUUUGAGAAAAUUUAGGGAAACCCACUGGACAUAUAUAUUUCAUAUAUAUAUGAGUUUAAUCACAUGGUCAUGUUCAAAAUAUUUGACAAACCCCUUCAAAACCAUUCCUGCCUAUUUAAAACUUUUGGAAUAUUUCUAUAAGAAAUAUUCUCCAUUAGUUCUUGUAAAAUUCUAGCAUGUCACAUAUGAUAUAUGUGAUGAUCUUGCCAAGUUUCACCUUAAUCCAAGUUGAUUUGAUUCCCCUAAUUAUUCCAAAACCCUAUGCGUUCAGAUCCAAAAUUUAGCAACUCUACAUUGCCAAGUAUCUCCAAUUGUGCUCAAAUUUGGUGGACAAGUUUUGAUACUCCAAUAAUGCAUCCACACCAAGUGGUGCAUCAAGGAGAAUAGAAGAACUUGUCCCAAGACCCUCAAAACCCUCUCUAUUGAUUUCUGACUUUGGGAAACUUUACAUUAUAAAGUUUCUCCAAUUGACCCCCUUAACUUUUUGGGCAUGCUUUAAUGCUCAAAUAAUGCCCCCACACCAAAUAUUGGAUUUGAGGGAAUUGAUUUGAAUAGCUUCGUAAGCAGAAGGCCACUUCUGCCCAUUUCAUGGGUUUUCCAAGUCUACAUUGGAAAUCUUCUCCACCAAAUCCCAAAUUUGGUGUCCAAGCUUAUUUUCAUAUUUUUUAUGCUGUUAAGUUUCAUAUCCAUUGAUGUCCAUCUGAUUGCCGUGACACUCAUCAAACACCUUGUGUGCACUCAAUUUAUUGGCUAGUUUGACCCCUUCCACUUUAACCCUUGAGCUCAACUUUCUACCAUAGCCUCUCCUAGUUACCUUUUUACUCCAGUAGCUUUGCCAUGGCAACUAAACAAUUAUUGGAGACAUGCCCCUUGUACUACUUCUCAUUUUACGCUUGGAAUCAUCAUUUUUACUCCCCUUGCCCCACUUCUGUUUAAGCCAAAGCCUCCAUCUCUUUCCAGAGGGCCCCUAGCAUCCUAAGGCAUCAUUUCAAACCAAGAUAUGGUAUACUCAUGUGGAGAAAAUGAGCAGCACAUCUGCAAGUUGAAUUGUGGCUGAAAUGUAGCUUUGUACACCAAUUACUAGCUACCCUCAUUUGAUUGAUCUCAAACUUGGCAUUGUGGUAGUCCUUCCAUGAAUAAGACUGGUAGACAAGGUUUCACCUCAAUUUCCCUUCUGGGAAAACCACUUUUGCCAGCCCCUAGUUUCUUAUUGCAAACUUAACCACAGUCAAAACCACACCUAACCAACCUUAGAUGCUUCCAAACUCCAGAGUCUCCUUCCUGCAUGUGUGCCCUACGUGUUGGACAUGUUUGACUGGUCAGGAGUGCCGUGUAGACAUGAGUGGUCGCGGUGACCACACUCACAUCAUGCAAUAUUGGUGCUCUACCCCUUGUCCUCUUGCUGCAGCUUGUUUCCGGCCGUUGCAACGUGUCUCACAGCACCGGGGGAUUCCAUUUGAUUGGUGCAAGUCCUUCCCGAUGCCUAGAAGCGACCAAAUCUCCCCAGGGACGCGUGUCUUCCCCGUGUUCUCAGAGCUCCGAGAGCUCCCGAGAUUCCAUCGUCUACCCCCUCCAUUUUUACCUCUCUCCCCGAACCCCGCUGCAUCACCUCUUCUUCCCUCACUUCCUAGCAACCUCCCGAGCCUCCCAACCAGCCGGAGGCUGCCCCGAGACCCUCCUCUUCUACCAUGGUCGCCAUGGCCGUUUCGGCCAUGCCCGGAUCCAAGCUGCCCUAGCCUCCCUCCUUCUCCCUAGGGCCUCCAGGAGAACCCCCAGACCCUGCAGCGCCUUCCCCAUUCUUCCUCUUCCCUUUGGGUGGAUGGAGCUCCUCUCCCGUGGCCGCCAUCUCCGCCCUCUGCCGUAGCCAGGGCGCAGCUUGCCCUGAGGCUCCUGGCGGGCACCAACACCAGGCUGGGUGCGUCGUAGCUCCCUGGACCGCCGAUGGCCUGAGCUCCGCCCGACGUUGUUGGAGCUGCCAGAACCAGGCGGAGCGCGAUCUCCUCCGUGCCUCCCUGCGUGCGAGCAUGAGGUAGGAGAAGGCCCUGGCAAAGGUUCCCCCCUCUAAACCUCCCCCAGCCGGACCCAUCCCCAUAAGUGGAGGCGGGUUCCUCCACGCGCGCCUCCUUGCGCUAGAAAGCGUAAAGGGUGCUGUGCGCCAUCGGCGUGGCCACUUCGCUGGUAGCUAGCGCAUCUAGGACGGCCCAGCUUCCUAUCGGUCGCCCUGAACGCUUAAUAGCAUUCCUGAUGGCCCUCCCUCCGUUGUUUUUCUCUUAUCAGUAAACUUCAAAAUUCCAUAUUAAAUUCAUUCUUGAUCCAAAUCUGAUGAUUCAAAUAUGUGCAUGACACAUUUUUCGAGAGCAACUUUCCGGGGUGUUUUUAAUUAAAUCCAAAUCUGGAUAUUUUAAGCAACACCUUGUGAAAUCCCUAUAAGGCUCAAAUGAUCUCCAAAUGGAGUGAUUCCAAUUUCCAGAGACUUAUUAUGUCAUCCCCUAUUUUUGAAGCCUUGGUAAACCUUUUUGUAUGACUUAUUUCCGUUUCAAUAAAUAAAUAGCUCCCUUUUGCUAUUUAUCCAGUAUUGGAAAAUCCCUAGAUUAUUCACCUCAUUUCCAAAUCCAGUGAGAUAACCUUCUAAAUGUUUCUAAAAUUGUACUCUAUUAAAUGAGUGCCUCCACUCACUUUUAUCUUGAUAUUUUCUGUGGGCUUCUUUAAAGAUCACCUAUUCCCCUCUCAUCCCUUCAAAAAUCCAUGCUGGUCCAACUCUCCUCUAGCAAGGUUCAGGUAUUUUUCUUAUGACCAGAGUGGUCGAAGAAAAAUAUAACUUCCAUUUUUAAAACACUUUUGUUCUACUUGCCAUGUGGCUGACUAUGAUUGUUUUCGAUGAUAGUUGACGAGUAGACGGAAUACUCAGAGUUGGACCGAAAGACCUCGAAGACCCCGAGGACUUAUGUGAGCAAAGGCAAGCAACCCUUUGACCAUGUUUGAGCAUAUAUUAUAUUGCAUGCUAAGUAGAACAAAUAUUUCCGUUGCAUGUGAUCGUAAGUACCGGUAAAUCAAUAAAGUCAUGUUACCUAUGGCUCCUCCAGAGCAAUUGCAUUUUGUGCAUGAUCCUACCACCUAUGAGGGUCACGCUCAUAUCAUGUUGACAAGUAGAGCUAAGAAUAGUAGUAGCAUGAGCAUGAUGAUGGUAUAGAUCAAAGGUUUAUGAAAACCCCGUGGGGUGCCACUAAUGCCCGAGGGUGAUGAUGAGAUAGGUGGCCACUUUUGGUGAAGUGGUGCACCGGGUAUUUUGUGUGUGUAUGGUUUCGGAAAUGGGAAUAUAUUUAUGAUGUGUUGACCGUCCCAACCUUACAUGUGCGACCACGAUACCCCUUUAUGGGACGGGGCUUUGUUGAUUACUCUGGUCGGUGCUAGCAAAGAGCCACAUUACCAGUGGCAGGAGUGAUGUGUGGUCACGCUCGAGACGGGGUCGUGUCAGGUAGGACGACUAUGCCGUCUUUACGUGUUCAGGGCACACCGUUGGUCCCUGCAUGGAUGAUACUGUCCAUAGUCGGUGCUCGUAAGACAUACAUCAUGUGGGCUGGGUACCAAUCGAGUGGACGUCUUUGUCUAGUAUCGUGAGCGGAAAGGCAUUGAUCGGGUACUUACCUCGGGUAUAUUAUAUACCACGAGUCGUGGAUGACACGCAAGUUUCCCGGAUCUCGUGGGUAUAGCGUACAACCUCUACAGAGUGUAAAACUAUUCGAAUAGUCGUGUCCACGAUCAAGGACAGUUGGGUAAUCCUGCUUAAACUAUGUCCAGUCAUUUCCGUAUAAACCAAGUGUGUGUGAGUGUGUGUUAAAUGGUGUUAUUAUGAAAGAGUUGAUAUGACCAAGUUUGGUGACUUGGCAUAUCGGGUGAACCCGGAGUGUUCAGCCCUUGAUAGAUAUGUUGCUAUAUGUAACCCGUUCUUCUAAAUACCAUUUAGCUUAUGUUCCACAUCCAUGAACAUGUUUAUUUACAGUCAAGCUGUUAUCCACCAAAACGUCACAUUACUUGCUAUUCUACCAAUUGCAUCGUUCACAUCAUGGGUUGUUUGCGAGUACAUUCAAAGUACUCAUUGGCUUGCCACAAGUUAUUUCAUUGACCAGGUAUGAGAGAACAUGAUUUGGUGAAGAGUAACUCGGUGACGUUCUUGCGAGCUAGGACACUUCCCAGUCAAAAUGCCUGUAGGUUAAGGCUAAUGAAAUGGGUUCACGCAUUCGACCAAUAGUUCCGCCAUUGGUCUAGUUUGGUGUGUUAGCCAUCAAGGCCCUAUAUAUGUAAGACUUGACCGAAAUGGUCAUUUAUUGUAUCAAACGGUAUGUAUGGAUGUAAGACUCUUAAUAUUUAGUAUCUGUGUGUUCAGUGAGCAUUGAUCUCUGGGAUCACUGAGCACGUUCAUUUGGCGGUCUCGACUCGUAAGUCGGGGUCCCCACAAAAAUGGUGUCUGCCGAAUUUCAUCAUGCCUGCAUUAAUAGACUUUGAGGAAUAAGCAUGCAAAGAAAAACGUUCAAAAGAGUCAGAGCACCAUCGAGCUUAAGUUACAACUCAUUACAUCAAACACUUCAGAAGAGCCAAUAGUUUGUAACUUAAUAAAGUUUAUAAGCCCCAAAAUAGAUCCCGCUUGAAGACUAACUCUUAGAUUUCUCCCCCUUUGUCAUCAAGUGAUGAAAAGGGACAAAGCUGAGGACUAACACCCUUGAAAAAAAUCACUUCUUGGUUGAUGUAGAGGCGUGAGGAUUCUUGGAGACAUGCUUCUUCCUUGGACCAGUUGUAGUGUCUUCAGGUUCUUCAUCUAAUUCAGCAGUGCAAAAUGAAGAAAAUGAAUUGUCCUCCAAGUCAGGAACUGGAAUUGGCUUGAAUUUCUUCUUUGGAGGGCACGACCAGUCAAAGUCUUGAGUAAAUUCCAAUUCCUCAAGUUCCUCUUGAGUCUUCAAAUGAGCCAACGUUGCCCAAGUGUGAUCAAACACCUCAUGAAGAUAAUAGUGAUUUUUCUUCACUGCAUUCUGAGUCUCGUUGAGGGUUUUCACAAUGGCACCAAACUGUCGGUUCACCCACUUGUGAUUGCGAUCGACUUUUUGAUGAAGACCGAGGAGUAGCUCUAUGUUAGUCAUCACUCUGGGGGUAGUUGGGUUUGGAGGCUCUUGAGUUGUAGUGUCAUCAUAUGAGGAGUAUGAAUCGGCCUUGCGAAAUUGGCCAUCAAGGGGCCGAUUUCCUUCAUCUAUCAUAGACUUGCCUUUGCUUCAACAGGUUCAAACGAUUUCUUAAUGACUUUUAUUGGUGGCAGAUAUCCGAGGUGAUUCUGAAAAUCAGCUUGAUAGUUGAUGCCUGACCUGUUUAUAAUGAAUCUCAUGAUCCAAGGCGCAUAAAUCUUCAAUUCAAAUGGUGACAAAGCAUUGUCAGCCAAAGUCCUCAAGAAGAAAUCAUAAAGAUUCAUAGGUAUGCCAUGAAUGGCAUUGAACAUGAUAUUCUUGACGAUGCCUACGACAUCUUCUUCAUCAUCAUGCCCUUUGAUAGGAGCAAUGACAUAAGACAUGAUUCUGUGCACUGUUCUGGGUUCAUACUUCAAGGCCUGUACCAGAAAUCGAGUCCUUGGGGGCUGGUCCUUGGCCAAAGGCUUCAUGAGGACUUCCAUCAGCUUGUUGGACAGUUCUCGUUCAUAAACAUUAGAACUGCAUCCUCUAAGGUAAUGGAAAUUGGGAGAGCUCAAAGCAAUUCAGUGGCAGGAGCUUUGUAGUGCGUGUGCUGAGUCAUCCAAUCCAAUACCCAAGUGUCGACAUACUUUGGGUCGCCUGAGAUGUGCAGUGUGGUAUAAAAUUGAAGAAUGAUGUUAGUGUUCCAAUCUCCGAUGUCAGCAUAGAAAGGCAGUAACCCAACUUCGUGAAGAACACUGAGGACUGGAGCAAAGCAAGGUAUUUCCUCCAUAUCAUAGUGAGGAAUAUGGGUAUGUUUAAAUAUCUUGUCUCUCCCAUAGAGCACAGAAGCAUAUUAGUUGAGCUGAUUUCUUGUCCAGAACUUCCUGUGUCUGAUGCGAAGGUUAUCAUAUGGAUUUUCACCAGUGAAGUACAUGCGUUCUUCAUAGAAUGCCUCUUUCUAAAACUUUGGCCGUUUGGAGAAAGGCUGAUUUUGCUGAGGUUGAAGAUUGUGCCGUUGUUAUUGAGGAGUAGCCACCACCAUUCCCGUUUCUGUGUUCACCACAACAAUAGCGGUUUCAGUGUUGGGUGCAGGAGCAUUUUCUUCAGUUUGAGCAUUUUCCUCAGUUUGAGGAUUCUCUUCAGCUUGAGGAAUUUGCUUGUUGGAGGAGGCGGUUGCAAUAUUUGAUGCUGCAUUGUCUUCAGCUGAUGUAGCGAAUUCUUGAGCAGACUCCUCACGAAUGCUUCUUCUAUCAGAACCAGUGAGAAUCUCAGUUGCAGCAGGAGUUGGAGGGAUUUGAUUUGACCUUGGCGAGCGUGGAUGAGUUUCUUCCCAGAAAUCAUCCUGGAUUACAGGUGUGCUGCAUCCAAUGUCAUCAUCAUCAAGUUGUUCCUCAGUGGUCUUUGGAGGAGUGGUGGACUGAGGAAUAUCAUCUAUUUGUAUUUCCUCAUCCAUUACUUCAUCCUCUUCAGCAUCAUUCAUUUCUUCACCUUCUUAAGGAAUGACAUAGUCAACUCUGAAGGGAACGAUCAUGCAUGAUGGAGCUACAUUCAGAGGAGUAGCAUCCACCGGGGCUGAUGAAGAUUCUGACUAAGUGAUCUUCAGACGUUUGGCCUUUCAGGAUUCUGAGGCCAUUGAAGCUUUUCUCUUUUUGGCUUCUUUCUCAACCGCUUUCGUUUUCUUCACGUCUGAUGAACACGAAGUCACUUUCUUCACCUUUGAGGGUUGCGGUGAAGGGACAAUUUCAUCAGGCACUGGUUUAGUGUGAGGCCUGCCAGUUUCUUCAGCUGGAGCAGUUUCUUCAGCUCGAAUAUUUUGAGGAAUUUCCUCAACAGCAGGUUCAUCAAUUUUAUCUUCCUCACGUAGCUGAACAAUAUAGCUUCGCUAAGGUGGUGUUUGCUGCUUUGGAGGGGCAGUUCUCUUGUUGUAUUCAUCAACAACAGCUGUUGCAACCUUGAUGAAUUUCACUUUUACGCCUUGACGAUCAGAGUGAAGACUUGUAUACUUGUCUGUGAGGGUUUUGAGUUCAGCCUGAGUUGAUACAAGUGCUUUAGGCAUCAGGUUGAGGAGAUUCUUUUUGAGGAAUUUCUCCUUUUUGAUUUUGGCAGCCCUUGCUUGCUUGGCUUACUGCUCUUUCCACUUUUCUUCACUGAUAAAAGUAGCAACCAUAUGGCCGACACGAGGGGAAGCUUUAAGUCAUCAACUGGUGUGUUUGGAUCUUCAUACCAGAGGUCGAUGAAAUCCAGCAAUACCUUCAGAUCCAUAGCUAGAGGAAUGGAACUGCUGGAGGCUUGUGCAACAUGUUCCUGUUUGUUUCUGAUGAUUGCUUGGAGUGUUUCAUCAUCAAAUUCUUCACUUGCUUCUGAUGAAGAAGGAACGUUGAUGACUUUACUAGGACUUGGCCUGAUGCCUCUGCCAGCAGUCAUUUUAGUCUUCAACAGAGUGGGUGAAGACUUUGUAGCACAGCCAGUGGCAGAUGGCACCGAGGAACUUGAUUGUGCAGGUUGAAACUUACUCAGUUGCUUCUGUUGUGGGGGUGAAGACUGUCGUGUUGUUGAAGAUUUUGUAGCCAUUGCAGCCUUCUGAGGCAAUUGCUCUUUUGGCGCUGUAGUAGAAGCUUUGGGUUUCUUCAGCAAAGUCUUCUUUUGAUGAAUUUCUGUAGUAGAGGCCUCAACAGCUGAAGAAGUGGCAGCAGUGGCUGCAGCAGUAGAAUCCUCAUUGAAUUUCUUCACAGCCGCUUCUGCCUUCUUCUGUAACUUAGACAAAUAUUUGUCUUUCUCAUCUGGAUAAUCCUCAAUAUUUCUACACUUGAGGGAUGAGCGACUUGUUGAUCACCCUAUGGAGGCCUUUUGCAAGGUGGCUUGAGGGUGAAUUUCUUCGCAUAUUUUGGAGUCACAUAUCUGUACUCCUUCCACUCCUUAGCCCACCCGCGCUCAAUCUUUUGAAGCCUUAUCUUGCGCUUCGCCAUGGUCUCUUUACCAUGUAUUUCCUCAUCAAGAGUACAAUAAUCAGCAUAUAUGUCUUCAGGUAUUUCAAAUGUUGUAUUUUGUACCAGCUUCUUUCCUCCUUUCUUCUUCUGAUCAUCCUCCAUUUUCUUUAACUGAGGCUUUUGCUGAGGAAUCUGAACUCUUCAUGAUUCUGAAGACACAGGUAAAUUUUCUUCGAGGAAUGCUGCAAAUGAGUUAAGUUGAUGAGAAAUUAGAGAUUCAUCACCUGACAUUUUUGGACCUGUGAAUACAGUAUAGGUGCGAAGAAUUUGGGAAGGUCAUAUGUGUUCUCAGAUUUGAAGAAAUUGAUUUUUUUAAAGUUGAGGAAUUGGACUAAGCAUUCUGAUCUUGUGUUCCAGAGUUGUGCAGAUUUGAGAAUUUACACAAUUGACGAAUCAACUGUUUGAGGAAUGAGUGUACAUGGCCGACAGACUUUCUCAGGAAAAACAGAUUUCGCGAGUCUAAAGUGAAUUAAAAGAUCAACAUAGGCAGUAAAAUAGGAUUUUAUUUACCCGGUGCAAAGAACACGAAGAACUGGAGCAGUAAAAGAGAGAAGUUCCUCCGUUCAGAUCUUCAGCGCCCUAACUUGGCAACUCAAAUCAGCUACGGUGGCGGCGGAAGACGAUUUUCCGUGGUCGGCGUGAGUCCGACAACGGCGAGGGCGAGGCAACAAAGCUUUUCCUCACCGGCGACGAGGAUGGUAGCGGUGGCGCUAGGAUUGAGCUAAAGCGGAGAAGACGAGAGGACGAAGAGCCUUGAGUGAGGGGGUUAAGGGCCUAUUUAUAGCUUAGGUAAAAAACUAUUCGGCCGAAACUUUCGGACUGAACUUCCUUUGCCCCUUAGUCUCCACAUGACAUGUGGUACCCACGACUUAAGCGGUGGAGUUCAUGGUUAUCCGAUCAUGAGAAGUAGGUCCGGUAACUGUGUAUCGAUAUAAAAACAAUUUUUGAAUUUUUGAGGAUUUUAUUGCAAAGUCCUCAGCUGACAAGGACUCCGUGAUGAUAUUCAACAUGUGUCAAAAAGAACGCAUAUGAACAAUUGAGAAUAGACUGGGUUGAGCUUAGCAUAGAGGGGAGUCGGGUCCGAUCACAUUCACUUAGAUGAAAUAUCAAAUUGAAGACUGGGCUAUAAGUGAAUGCUGUUGAGGACUUUGAACGCUCAUUAUAUAUAUAUAUAUAUAUNNNNNNNNNNNNNNNNNNNNNNNNNNNNNNNNNNNNNNNNNNNNNNNNNNNNNNNNNNNNNNNNNNNNNNNNNNNNNNNNNNNNNNNNNNNNNNNNNNNNNNNNNNNNNNNNNNNNNNNNNNNNNNNNNNNNNNNNNNNNNNNNNNNNNNNNNNNNNNNNNNNNNNNNNNNNNNNNNNNNNNNNNNNNNNNNNNNNNNNNNNNNNNNNNNNNNNNNNNNNNNNNNNNNNNNNNNNNNNNNNNNNNNNNNNNNNNNNNAUAUAUAUAUAUAUAUAAUUUGAAUAUUUUGAAGAAUGAAAAUCAUCAAACAUUUUGAAGAAUUUGAAGAUUUUGAAAAUUUGAGAAUUUUGUGACAAAGUGUCAGAUUGAUGAAUUUCAACUUUGAAGAAAAAGCAGCUUGAAGAAUUUCAAAGUUGGGUGGUGGCAUGACCCACCGUAUAAGACUGAUGAUUUCAGGAGCCGCGUACAAUUGUCGUAGGGCCCUGAGAACCAAAUUCUUCAUUAAUUUCUUCACACUAAGAGUGAUGUUCUUCAUUGAUUGAAGAAAGUCGAUUCUUCGUGUGGUGCACAUCUAAAUCAUCAAUUUUGCAUAAGUGUUAGGAUCACAAAACAUUUGAAGACUCUAGGAUAUUUAGCUCACACCGCAACUUGCGAAACCUUCUCUCAUCCAAGGGCUUAGUGAAAAUAUCUGCUAGUUGAUCGUCAGUCUUCACAUGGUCGAUGAUGAUAUUGCCCUUGACGACAUGGUUCCGAAGAAAAUGAUGACGACUCGGGAUGUGAUUAGUCUUCGAGUGUUGUACUGGGUUGUAGGCAAUCUUGAUUGCACUCUCAUUGUUGAAGUAGAGGGGCACAUUCUUCAUGUUGAUGUUGUAGUCUCUGAGGGUUUGCUUCAUCCACAACAAUUGAGCACAGCAGGAUCCAGCGACAAUGUACUCAGCUUCGGCGGUGGAGAGAGAAACACAAUUCUGCUUCUUUGAGGACCAGCCAACUAAUGAUCUUCCGAGGAAAUGGCAUGUGCGUGAUGUUGACUUGCGAUCCACAUGGUCACUAGCAUAGUCAGAAUCAGAAUAUCCAACGAGGUGAAGAUUUGAACCCUUGGGGUACCACAAUCCUAGUGUUGGUGUGUGAGCUAAGUAUCAAAGAAUAUGUUUCAUAACGUUAUGGUGUGAUUUCCUCGGUUUUGCUUGAAAACGAGCACACAUGCAAACACUAAGGAUUAUAUCUGGCCUAGAUGCACAUAGAUACAAUAAAGAGCUAAUCAUCGAGCAAUAUACCCGUUGAUCGAAAUCAUUACCAUUUCGUCAGUGCAGCGGUGGCUCUUGGUAGGCAUAGGAAUCUUGACGCCUUUGCAUUCAUGCAUGUUGAAUUUCCUCAGAACAUCCUUGAGGUAUUUCGCGUGUGAUAUGAAGAUGCCAUUGCGUUGUUAACGAAUUUGAAGGCCUAAGAAGAAUUUCAUCUAUCCCAUCAUAGACAUGUGAUAUUUUUCACUCAUCAUUUAAGCAAAUUCAUCACUGUAACGUUUGUUAGUACAACCAAAGAUAAUGUCAUCGACAUAUAUUUGGCACACAAAUAGUUCAUUGUCAUCAGAUUUUGUGAAAAGAGUUGGAUCGAGUGAACCAGGUUUGAAGCCUUUCUUCAUGAGAAAUUCCUUCAAAGUGUCAUACCACGCCCGAGGGGCUUGCUUGAGGACAUAGAGUGCCUUUUUGAAUCUGAAGACUUUGUUAGAAUGCUUUGGAUCUUCAAAACCUGGGGGCUGCGCAACAUAUACUUCUUCCUCAAGCUUAACAUUGAGGGAUGCACUUUUCACAUCCAUUUGAUAUAGAGUAAUAUUAUGAUGAUUAGCAUAAGAAAGUAUAGCUUCAAGUCUAGCAACAGGUGCAAAAGUUUCAGCGAAAUCAAUUCCUUCAACAUGUGUGUAACCUUGGGCUACAAGCCGUGCCUUAUUCCUCACCACUUUACCAUCUUCAUCUUGCUUGUUUCAGAAAAUCCACGUGGUGCCGAAGAUAUUGUGCUUGCAAGGAUCUGGUCGUUUGACGAGUUCCCACAUGUCAUUUAGCUUGAAUUGAAGAAGUUCAUCUUGCAUGGCCUGAAUCCACUCAGGUUCCAUGAAGGCUUCAACAACUUUUGAGGGUUCUAUGAUAGACACAAAAGAGGAAUGCCCACAAAAGUUAACUAAAUCUGAAGCUUUUGAGAGAGUGAGAGGAUGUGGCGCAUUGUGUUGGGGAACGUUGCAUGGGAAACAAAAAUUUUCCUACUCACACGAAGACCUAUCAUGGUGAUGACCAUCUACGAGAGGGAGAUCGGAUCUACAUACCCGUGUAUACUACUAAGCGGGAAUUGUUAAGAAACAAGGUUGAUGUAGUGGAACGUCUUCGCGAUCCAAAUCACCGUCGUCCCAUGAUCCGACGCGAUAUAGUACCUAACGAACGACACCUCCUCGUUGAGCACACGUACAGCUGGAUGACGAAAUCCGCCUUCUUGAUCCAGCAAAAGAGAUGGGGAAGUAGAUGAGUUCUCCAGCAGUGUGACUGCGUGCCAGUGGUGGUGGUGAUCUAUUCCUGCAGGGCUUCGCCUAAGCACCGCAGAAACCCAAUCUGGAGGAAGAACUACAAACUAGAGGAGAGGGUUGCAUGUGGCUGAAAUUGCGUCUCAAAAUCAUUCAAACCUCUUGUAUAUAUAGGAGGAGGCAAGAGGCAGCCUUGUCCGACCAAGGGAAACCCCUUGGGGUCGACCGAACCAAAGGAGGGAGGAGUCCUCCUCCAAUCCUACUUGGAUUAGGACUCCUUCGCAAAUUGUCCACCUCUUUUGGAUUUUCCACCUUUUUCCACAUGGGAUUUCUUUGGUUGACAAGACAGCCCACUAAGAGCUAUUGCGCCACCAUCAAGUCCAUGUGGAGCUCUUGGGGAGUGGUGGCCCACCUGGUGGGCCCCCGGUACCCAUUCGUCAGUCCCGGUAUACUGCCGUCAAUGCCUGAAAUUCUUCUGGAAUCCAAAUAUGAACUGCCUAUAUAUCAAUCUUCGUUUCUGGACCAUUCUGUAACUCCUUGUGACGUCCGGGAUCUCAUCAGGGACUCCGAACAAAACUUCGGUCACCAGCACCUAUAACUCAACUAUACCGAAACAUCACCGAACCUUAAGUGUGCAGACCCUACGGGUUCAAGAACUAUGUAGACAUGACCUGAGACACUCUCCGGUCAAUAUCCAAUAGCGGGACCUGGAUGUCCAUAUUGGAUCCUACAUAUCCUACGAAGAUCCUAUCGGUUGAACCUCCAUGCCGAGGAUUCAUAUAAUCCCGUAUACCAUUCCCUUUGUCCUUCGGUAUGUUACUUGCCCGAGAUUUGAUCGUCGACAUCUCUAUACCUAUUUUAAUCUCGUUACCGGCAACUAUCUUUACUCAUUCCGUGAUAAAAGAUCCCAUGACUAACUCUUUAGUUACAUUGCUUCCAACACUUAUAUUUGAUGUUUUAUUACCGCGUGGGCCACAAGAUACCUCUCCGUCACACGGAGUGUCAAAUCCCAGUCUUGAUACAUGCUAACUCAACGGACACCUUCGGAGAUGCUUGUAGAGUACCUUUAUAGUCACCCAGUAACAUUGCGACGUUUGAUACACGCAAGGCAUACCUACGGUGUCAGUGAGUUACAUGAUCUCAUGGUCAUAGGAAUGAAUACUUGACAUGCAGAAAACAAUAGAAACAAAAUAACACGAUCAUAUGCUACAUUCAUAGUUUGGGCCUUGUCCAUCACAUCAUUCUCCUAAUGAUGUGAUCCCGUCAUCAAGUGACAACACUUGUCUAUGGCUAGGAAACCUUAACCAUCCUUGAUCAACAGGCUAGUCAACUAGAGACUCACUAGGGACACAGUUUUGUCUAUAUAUCCACACAUUAUGCUUCCAUUCAAUACAGUUAUAGCAUGGAUAAUAAACGAUUUUCUUCAAACAUGAAAUAUAAUAAUAACUACUUUAUUAUUGCCUCUAGGGCAUAUUUCCAACACAUUGAUGUCAUCCAGGAUUUUGUCAAGUUCCACUUCAUUUGCAAUUCAUGGAUGGGCUGGUUGAAGAUUUUGUCUUGGCUGAGGAAUUUGAUCUGGAGCAAUUUCCUCAAGUGCACCUCCUUGAAUUUCAUCAGUGCCGGGGACGAUUUCUUCAGCAAUUUCCUCAGUAGGAAGAUAUCUUCAGUAUCUUUGAAGUUGAUAGCUUCCUCGGGAGAUAAUUUGUCUGGCAUAGGAGGCAAUUGCUCUCCUUGUGAGCCAUUAGUUUCAUCGAACCGCACAUCUACAGUUUCAACAACCUUGUUGUGAUAGGUGUUGAAGACUCUGUAGGUGUGCGAGUCCUUUCCAUAACCAGACAUAAAACCCUCAUGUGCUUUAGGUGCAAAUUUUGAGCUAUGGUGAGGAUCUUUAAUACAACAUUUUGCACUGAAGACUUUGAAAUAACUUACAUUGGGUUUCUUGUCAGUGAGGAAUUCAUAUGAUGUUUUCUUGAGGAAUUUGUGAAGAUAUGCCCUGUUGAUGAUGUGGCAAGCAGUGUUGAUUCCUUCAGGCCAGAAACGAUGAGGAGUCUAAUAUUCUUCAAGCAUGGUCCAUGCCAUUUCAACCAAAGUCAUGUUCUUGAGUUCAACGAUGCCAUUUUGUUGAGGAGUAUAAGGAGCAGAUAAUUCUUGAGUAAUACCAAGUUCAUCAACGUAAUUAUCAUGACCAGUGUUUUUGAAUUUUGUCCCAUUCUCACUUCUGAUGUGUUUGAUCUUGACGCCGAAGUUCGUUGAGGCCCUUGUGGAAAAUUGUUUGAAGACUUCCUGCACUUCAGUUUUAUACAGAAUGAUAUGUACCCAAGUAUAUCAAGAAUAGUCAUCAACGAUGACAAAGCCAUAUAAAUAUGUUGCAUUGGUUGGAGUGGCAUAAUGCGUAGGUCCAAAUAGAUCCAUGUGAAGCAAUUCAGACGAACGAGUAGUAGUCACGAUAGUCUUCGAGGGGUGUUUGGAUCUGGUCAUUUUUCCAGACUCACAAGCAUUGCAGAGGUGGUCCUUGAGGAAUUUGACUCACUUGAUGCCAAUGACAUGCUUCUACUUCGCCAGCGUGUGCAAAUUCCUCAUGCCUGCAUGACCAAGUCUUCGAUGCCAUAGCCAGCCUUUUGAGGUUUUUGCUAGUAAGCAUGUGGCUGGUUGAUGACCUGUGAAAAAAUCAAUAAUGUACAAAUCUCCUCUCCUAAAGCCGUCGAAGACAUUAGAUUUGUCAGAUUCCAUGAUGACUACGCAUACAUAUUUUCCAAAGAUGACAACCAUAUCAAGAUCACAAAGCAUUGAGACUGGCAUGAGGUUAAACCCAAGGGAUUCAACAAGCAUGACUUUGUCCAUGUGCCUGUCCUUGGAGAUAGCCACUUUGCCAAGUCCCAGUACCUUGAUUUUACCUUUAUCAGCAUAAGUGAUUUGCUUCAGUGGUGAUGGAGUCAGUGGCAUGUUCAUCAACAAGCUUUUAUCACGAUUCAUGUGGUUUGUUCAACCACUGUCAAGAACUCACUCUGUAUUCUUGGGUUAGUCAUCCUAGAGAUGAAUUAGUACAACUUACCAUCUCAUAUGCUUUAGACUUGAAGAAUAUGGUUUCAAUUUCAUCAUAUAGGAAUUUCAUCAUAAACAGUAAAUUUGAGGACAUGUGAGAUGUUAUCAUUUCAUCAAUUUUAGUUUGCGUCCAAUCAAGCAUUUUCCUGAGGUCUCCAGCAAAUUCUUGAAAUGAUGACUUUCAUCUCGAGACUUGACCUGCAGAAGUGAUUAGUUCAAUUUCUUCACCACCCACAUCUGAAGGGGUGGCUAAGAGUUCAUCAUCGUGCGAGAAUCAUAUGAGAAAGGGGGCAUUGAAGCUAAUGCACUUCGUUUCAUAGUAGGGGUGUUAGAGUACUCGAAUGAAUAGGCAAAGAAGUUCUUUGAGGACUUAUGAAUAUAAUGAUUUGAGGAAUAAUGCUCAUAUUCAUAUCCCUUGUAAUUUCCCUGCAUAUCAGAAGCAUUAGCACAAGUACGAGUAUUGUGUUGACCAUUUGAGGAUUUUGAUCCUCUUGAAGACUUUGGUCCACCAGAGGAAUUUGAUCUGGGGUUCAGGUUCUUCAUAGGUGGUGUCAUGAGGACAUUCACCAUAAGGUUUUCCAAGCAACUUUUCGGACCCAGAUUUUUCUCAGGGGUGGUCCAUUCGUGUAGUUAGUUCCAACAUAUCUAGCAAAUACUUCACCAGAUCGAUUUUUGAACAAUUUAUAGUUGGAGUCAAAUGACUCAUCUGAGGAAUAGGAUAAUUUACAUGCAAAGCCUGUUAGAGAGGAUGGAUCGAUGGGAGGGCCUUUAGCAGCAACCCAUGAGGUUUUGGGAUACUGCUUAGGUUUCCAGUAUGAUCCAUUAGCAUUCAAUUUCCUUUCAAAGGCAAUUCCUUCUUUCCUCGGGUUCCUGUUCAAAAUCUUCUUUUUUGCACAUUGCAAAGGGUUUGAUGCCCUUUGAGACUUUUGUAUAUGCCUGUCACAUACAAUUCCUUCAGCCCUGCAUUUUCGUCAGUAGCAUUUGUGGUUUACUCAAGUGAAGAAUUUGAUACCACAGGAGAAGUUGAAGAAUUUAUAGCGAUAGAAGCAUUUGAUGAUUCUGGUGAAGAAUUAGCAUUUUCAUGUUUAAUGCAUAUGAGACAUGGUGGAGUAAAUUCAACUGAGCGGCACUGAUCUGUUGAGCAAGCAAUGAAUCAUUUUCCAUUUGAAGAUCAUCAUGAGACAUCUUCAACUUCUCAAGAUCAAGUUUCCUUUGAAAAAUUAAAAGGAAACUUUCUCAUGAUCAGCCAAGAGUGUGCCAUAACGAUCUUGAAGAGUAUCAAAUCUAGACUGAAGACUUUUCACAUCUUCAGUGAGGACUUGAGUACGAGUCAUUUCAUCAUUCAACAGAUCAUUGCUUUUGUGUAGCAGCUUUUGAAGCUUUUCAAUGGCACUUUGUUGUUUAGUUGCAAUGUUGGCAAGUUUACUAUAAUUGGGUUUUUUAUAAUCAUCAGGUUCACAGUCACUUCAGUUAGAGGAGGAAGUAUCAUUCAAUACCUUUGAACCUUUUGCCAUGAAGCAAUAGGUUGGAGCGAAGUCAUCAGCAUAUCCAUCAGUGUAGAUAGUGUUGUCAUUUUCUUCAAGGUUGAAGUUUGACUUGUUGACGAAUUUGGUAGCCAGUGCAAGACUUGCCACACCAGACUCUGAAUCUUCUUCAGAACCUUCAUCUUCAUCAAAUUCCUCAGAUUCUUUCUGUCAAUCUAUUUCCGUGCCAAUGGGUGCCCGAGCCUUUCUGAAACUAGUCUUCUUGUGCGAUGAGGACUUUGAGGAUGAGGAUUUUCAAGAUUUCUUCUUUUUUUUCGAGCCAUGAGAACUUUCAUCCUUGUAUUUAUUCUUCUGUCAUUGUUUCACCCAGUGAAGAUAGUCAGCUAUGUAGUGACCAGAUUUCUUACAUUUGUGACAGGUUCUUUUCUUGUAGUCCUGAGAUGAAGAUUCUGAUUUCCUCAUAUCUCUUCUUGAAGAUUUACAAAACUGACCAUGCUUUGAAACUUCUGGUAUUUCCUCACGAGCAUUGCAAGCUCCUGUCCAAGUUCUUCAGGAUCACCAAUGUUGCAAUCUGAGUCUUCUUCUUUAGAUGAGGAAAUUGCUUUAGCAUUCAACGCACAAGGUCUUGAGUAGCUUGGUCUAUACAGAUCUCUCUUUUCUUCCUGUUGGAAUUCAUGAGUAUUGAGUCUUUCAAGUAUAUCAGCAGGAUCAAGCAUUUUAUAGGCUCCUCUUUCUUGAAUCAUCAGAACCAGUGUAUCAAAAGAUGGAUCAAGAGAUCUUAGUAGUUUCUUCACAACUUCAUGGUCGGUGAUGCCUCGAGCUCCCGCUGCUUGUAGUUCAUUUGAGAUGUCAGUGAGGCGAUCAAAGGUAUCUUGGCAGCUUCCAUUGUCAAGCAUCGUGAAGCAAUUGAAGAGAUUGGGAAGAACAUCAACUCGAGAGUCAUGCUGAGUUGAGAUUCCUUCAUUGAGUUUGGACAACUUAUUCCAGAUAAGCUUAGUUGUGCCCAAAGCACUCACUCCGCCAUAUUGACCUUUGCUCAGAUGGCCACAAAUGAUAUUCUUCGCUUGUGAGUCAAGUUGCUUGAAUUUCUUCACAUCAGCGGCAGAGAUAGUAGAAGUGAUGGACGGAAUACCAUGUUCCACGGUAUACCAGAGAUCUUUGUCAAUAGCCUGAAGAUCUGUACUUUCCUUUGAAGGUAGGACAUCGUGAAGUAACUUUGUUCAUACCUGUCGUCGACAUAACUAAAACACGAGGUGGUUAAACCAAAAUCACACGGAACAAGGGAGUACCUUGCUCUGAUACCAAUUCAAAGUGCGUUAUAUCGACUAGAGGGGGGGGGGUGAAUAGGCAAUUAUUAGAAUUUCAUUGCUGAGGAUAUUCCUUGUGAGGAAAGUCCUCAAUGAUGAAUUGUGGGGACCCUGACUUACGGGUCGAGAUCGCCGAGUGAACGUGCUCAGUGAUCCCAGAGAUCAGUGCUCACCGAACAGAUAGAAACUGAAUAACAAGAGUCUUACAUCCAUACGUACCGUUUCCUCAUAUAGUAAAUGAUGGUUGCAGUCAAGUCUUACAUAUAUAGGCCUUGAGGGCCAACACAACAAACUCGACCAAUAGCAGAAAUAUUGAACGAAAGCGUGCCCAUGCCACCAGCCUUAACCUACAUGCAUUCUGACUCGAAGCGUCCUAGCUCACAGGAACGUCACCAAGUUACUCUUCGCCAUAUCCUGUUCUCUCAUACCUGGUCAAUGAAAUAACCAAUGGCAAGCCAAUGAGUACUUUGAAUGUACUCGCAAACAUCCCAUGAUAUGGAUAAUGCAGUUGGUAUGGGAACAAGUAAUAUGCAGUAUUGGUGGAUAGCAGUUUAACUGUAAAUAAACAUGAUCGUGGAUGUGCAGCAUAAGCUAGAUGGUAUUUAGAAGAACAGGUUACGGAUAUCAAUAUAUCUAUCAAGGGCUGAACACUCCGGGUUCUCCCGAUAUGACAGGUCACCAAACUUGGUCAUAUCAACCCUUUCACAUAACUACUUGAACACACACACACACACACUAGGUUUAUGCGGAAACGACUGGACGUAGUUUAAGCAGCACCACCCAACUGUCCUUGACCGUGGACACGACUAUCCGAAUAGUUUUACACUCUUCAGAGGUUGUAUGCAGUACCCACGAGAUCCAGGAAACUUGCGUGUCAUCCACGACUCGCGGUAUAUAACAUACCCGAGGUAAGUACCCAAUCAAUGCCUUUCCCCUGACGAUACUAGACAACAAGGUCAAUUUGAUUGGUACCCAGCCCACAUGUUGUAUGUCUUACGAGCACCGACUUUGGACAGUAGCAACCAUGCGGGGACCAACGGUGUUCCUGGAACACGUAAAAACAACAUAGUUGCCCUACCUGGCACGACCACAUCACGAGAGUGACCACACAUCACUCCCGCCACUAGUAAUGUGGCUCUUUGCUAGCACCGACCAGAGUAAUCAACAAAGCCCCGUCCCAUAAAGGGUUAACGUGGUCAUACAUGUAAGGUUGGGACGGUCGACACAUCAUAAAUCUAAUCCCAUUUACGAAACCACUCACAUGAAAAUAUCCGGUGCACCACUUCACCAUAAGUGACCACCUAACUCACCAUCACCCUCGGGCAUUAGUGGCAGCCUACGGGGUUUUCAUAAACCUUUGAUUAUACCAUUAUCAUGCUCAUGCUACUACUAUCCUUAGUUCUACUUGUCAACAUGAUAAUAGCGUGACCCUCAUAGGUGGUAGGAUCAUGCUAAAAAUGCAAGUGCUACGGAGGAGCCAUCGGUAAUAUCACUUCAAUGGUUUACCGAUACUUAUGAUCACAUGCAAUAUUAAUAUUUUCUACCCUAGCAUGCAAUAUAACAUAUGCUCAAACAUGGUCAAAUGGCUGCUUGCCUUUGCUCACAUAAGUCCUCGGGGUCUUCGACGUCUUCCGGUCCAACUCCGAGUACUCCGUCUACCCGUCACUAUUAUAGGAAACAACCACGGUAAGCCACACAACAAUCAAAAACAAAAGUGCUAUAAAAAUGGAAGUUAUAUUUUUCUUGGACCUCUCCGGUCAUAAGAAAAAUACCUGAAGCUUGCCAUAGGAGAUUUGGAUCAUCAAGGAUUUUUAAUGAAUGAGAAGAGGAAUAGGUGAUCUCUAAAUAUGCCUACGGAAAAUAUCAUGAUAGAAAUGAGUGGAGGCACUCAUUUAAUACAGCAUAAUUUUAGAAAUAUUUAGGAAGUUGUUUCACUGGAUUUGGAGUUGAUAUGAAUAUACUAUGGAUUAUUCAAUACUGGAUAAAUAGCAAAAGCGAGCUAUUUAUUUAAUGCAACACACAUAAGUCAUAAACAAUGUUGACCAAGGUUUCAAAAAUAGGAUGUGAUAUAAGAAGGCUCUGGAAAUUGUAAUCACUCCAUUUGCAAGUGCUGCCUAAAAUAUUCAAAUGGGCAUUUGAAUAUUAACCUCACACAAAAGUAUUUUGCAAAAAUGUGCAAUGCACAGAUCUGGAUAGAACAUGAUUUUAGAAACCUGCAAAUUUUUGAAUUGUCAGAUUUGGAGCUUAGAUGGAUAUUUGAUGGAUUUAUGAAGAUUCUGAUAAUAGGAAACAAAUCAGAGUUAUACCAGAUGGGGGGGAACUAUAUUGCGCGCAGGCCCACCGCAGCUUUGGGUCGGCCCAGCUUGGCCUGGCCUGCGGUGGUGCAGGUGACACCGAAACCGCACCCAGGGAAUACGCCUCCCCUGGGAAAAGGCGGCUACAGCUCACCCCGUAUCCACUUAAUGGGGAGAGACCCACCCGCGAGCCUCACUGGCCGGCCGACAGGCGAGGCCUAGCGGCUCACGAGGCUUUAUUCUUCCUCUCGCCACGAGGGAGAGCAGGGGAAUCUGGCAGCGGCUGCCGACGCUACAGGGCACAGUUCCCAGCGUCCCCACCACCAAAGGGCUCAGGGAAGCGAGUCGCACCCGUUCCGAUGCAGAGCACGUGCUGAGAAGGGCUGAGGUAGCGACGCCUUGGACGACCGCGGAGGAGGCCAUCGGGACUCGCUGGCCUCGAGAUCUUGGCGCCCCAGGGUGGAACGAAGGUGACCGGGGGGUUUCAACAUGGAGGUGUGAUGGCGCUGCAGGGGGUCAGGGGAGAGGGGGAGCUCGGAGGAGCUCAAAUUUAAGAGGAGGCCUAGGAUGCAAUGUGAGCGGCACGAGGAGGAGGAUGGGCACAGGGCAAGCCGUGGCUAGCCCAGGAGGCCACUAGGGGAAGAGGGGGCGAGAGAAUGCACAAGGGGGGCUAAGGGCUUGCUUCAAAUGGAGGGGGUAUGGCAGGGAGAGCUCGAGGGAGCUUCGGAUGCUCCCUUUGCACUCUAAGCAAAGUGGCCACGCGCGCCUGAGUCACCUUGGCUGCUUCCUGGCUUCGGGGAGGGCUCGAACGGUCAAAGGGGAGCACCCUGGCGCGUUGGGACACGCGACCGUUGAUGGAGUCGAGCUGCAAAAAGAUAAAAGGAUGCAUAGCAGCGUUUUUGCAUGCUUCCGGCGUGGUCAUCAUAGCCACUCAUGUCCACAAUGUUCCAAUGACCAGUCAAACAUGUCCAACACGUAGGGCACACAUGCAGGAAAGUAAACUUGAGGGGAAACCAUGUCUAGCAACAUCUGACACGGAAGGACUACACCCCUAUAAAGUUUUAGCUCAAGCAAAGGAGGGUAGCUAGUACUUGCUGUACAAAUCUACAUUUCAGCCACAAUUCAACUUGUAGAUGUGCUGCUCAUUUUCCCCACAUGAGCAUGCCAUCUCUUGGUAUGAAACAAUGCUUUGGGAUGCCAGGGACCCUCUGGAGAGAGGUGGGGCUUUGGCUUAAGCAGAAGUGGGAGAAGAGAGGUACAAAUGGUGAUCCAAGCGUAAAAAAGAGAAGUAGUUACAUGGAGGUAAAAUGUAACUAUAUGGAGCUGUGGUAGAAAGUUGACAUCAAGGGUAAAACUGGAAGGGGCCAAAGUAGCCACUUUAGUGAGUGCACACAAGGUGUUUGAUGAGUGUCAGGGCAACCAUAUGAACUUCAAUGGAUAUGAAACUUAACAGGAUCAAAUAAUAGAUGAAAAUAAGCUUGGACAACAAAUUUGGGAUUUUGUGGACAAGGUUUCCAAUGUAGACUUGGAAAACCCAUGAAAUUGGCAGAAAUGGCUUUCUGCUUACAACUCUAUUCAAAUCAAUUCCCACUAAUAGAAUAUUUGGUGUGGGGGCAUUAUUUGUGCAUUAAAGCAUGCCCAAAAAGUUUGGGGUCAAUUGGAGAAGCUUUAUAAUGUAAAGUUUCCCAAAGUCAGAAUUCAACAAAGAGGGGUUUGAGGGGCUUGGGACCAGUUCAUAUAUUCUCCUUGAUUCCCCACUUGGUGUGGAUGCAUUAUUGGAGUAUCAUAACAUGUAUACCAAAUUUGAGCACAGUUUGAGAUACUGGACAAUGUAGAGUUGCUCAAAUUUGGUUCUGGACAGAUAGGGUUUUAGGAUAAUUAAGGGAGCCAAAUCACCUUGGAUUGAUAUGAAACUUGGCAAGAUCAUCACAAAGGUCAUAUGUGACAUGCUAGAAUUUUACAUGAAUUUAUUGAUAAUAUUUCUUAUAGAAAUAUUUCAAAACCUUGAAAUAGGCAGGAAGGGUUUGCCCUAUAUUUGAACAUGACCAUGUGUUGAAACUUAUAUAUAUGGAAUAUAUAUGUCCAUUGAGUUUCCCUAAAUUUUAUUAAAUAUUUUGAAAGCAAUAGAAAUAACUUUCCUUCACAAGAGAGCAUUUCUGGCCUCACAGGAAGGCAUUUAAAUAAAAUAGUAAAAUAACUAUUAUUAAUUUUGUGGUUUUGUGAAGCCAUUUUGAUAAUGGGUUUUAAAUAAAAUAAUUGGUGCAAAAUAAAUUCCCUAAUUUGAGGACUUGUAGUACAAAUCCCAUCUAACGGGUUUUGAAAGCUUAAUUCAAAGAAAUGUUUUUUGGCGAAAAUAAUAUUUGGUAAAAAUAGUUUCUGGUCCUAAACACAUGGCAUGAUCAUUAGGGAGGAGAUUUGGGGUAAGGAGGUGAGUCUGGAGAGUAAUAAGAAUUAUUGAGAAUCAAACACAAGCAUACCAACAAGCAAGCAAACAAUAGUCACUUCAAGCAUUACAAGCAUUCACAAAAAAGUUAAUUGGUCCUUAUUUUUGAAAUAAGUUAAUUAGUCAGAAAAGCUAAACACAUGGUGUUACAGACCUUACCCCCUUAAGAAAAUCCCGUCCCCGAGAUUUCUAGGCUAGGGGUUGGAAAGAUACAAAAUCUUGAGUCGGAGGUAGUCUUCAUGUCCCCAUGUUGCUGUUGUAUGUCUUGAGGUGCUUGAUCAUACAUCUUCGAAUGCUCCGCACGUCCUUGCGUGAUUGUGAAUGGAUUCUCGCAAUAAGUUAGGCUUGACCGAGGGUCGGGGGCUUGGUGAACUAAGUUCGUUCAAGGUUUUGGCUUGCAAGUGCAUUCCAAGGUAGGAAUACGUGGCAAGAUAGUGUCUGGGUUUUGGUCCCGGGGCUGCUCGUGUUGGUUAGUGACAUCUAGAUCUGUCGUCUUAGAACGUACGGUCAAGGUCCUCGCGUAGCUCCCUGCUGACGAGGAAUUACUUGACUAUGGUCGCAUGUGGUCUACAUCUUCGAGGGUGUGGAAGUGGUCUUCUAAGGCUUCUCAUGAAGGGGUCUGGGUUGGAUCUCUCCCAUGAGUCUUAAGCUCGGAGACUCAGUAAUCAGGACACGUACUAUCAUCUCGGAAGGUUUCGCGAGGGGUUCUGGAUGGGCUGGCUACCAAAGAGUAUAGACCAGUCAUCCACUCCCAAGGUCUGCGGCUUGGCAAGCAGUGAAUCACCUUCAGCGGGUUUUCACCAUGACUGUCGGUGAAUACUUACAACAUAUGCCAUAGGUAGGCUAAAGUCGGUGAGAACCGAAGGGAAAAAGGUGGGCGCUGGGAACGAGGUUGGUACACGCAUGGGACGCACGAUGUACCCAGGUUCAGAGCUCUCCAUAGAGAUAAUACCGCUAAUCCUGCUUGUGUGUUUGAUGUAUGGGAACAGCGUACAAUGUUGCUCCUGGAGCUGUGUUGGGAGGAGGAAGAGGGGAGCAGCCGACUCAUCUCUACCUCGCUCUUUGUUGGUUGGUGAGUGUGUAGUGUUGAAUGACUGGCAAGUGAUCGGCCCCUCUGCAUGGGGGGCGGCCGGGGGGUUUUAUAGACGAACCCGCCAGCCUACAAUACGGAUAAAGGGUACAAGUGUGGGACCCGGUUGGCUGCUUCGCUGGCUGGCCAGAGGCCCUUGUCUUGUCAAUGAGGGGCCCGCCGGCUGCAUGGUCUCGUUUAGCUGUGGGACCUGCCGGCUGGCCAAUGGCGGUCCCAUUUAAGGUUGACGCUGAGCACGCGCUGUACGUCAAGCGUCGCCCCGCGAGAUUCUUCAUGGGCAGGCAGUACGACCGCCUCCACUAUUCCCCACGCCGAGUGUAGUAAUGGAGUGGGAGUGUGACGGUCCGACAUCCGGCUAGGUGAUGGAUCAAAGCCGGGGUAGGUCAGUUGCGUGGCCGUCGACGGUCAUAAAUGCCGGGUGCCCCGAUCCAGUACCUUUGCUGACGCGUAGCUACCUAUAAUUGUGAGGUCCUUUCCUGACCUACGAUCUGAUGUGACUGGUGAUCCUCGGCCGGCUAGCCUGCUUGGCUAGGCGGCUCGCGGGUGGCCGCCUCCUCCCCAGUCUGGCUGGCGGGACCAGGCCGGCUCUGAAGGGGAGGCCGCCUGCGUUCUAGCCGGCAGGGGAUGUCGGUCCGGCCAGAAAGGUGGCCGCCUCGUCUUCCAGCCGACAUGGGAUGCCUAGCCUGUCAAAAGACUUGGGCCUUGGGAAUCUCCCUAUCUUCAUGUCCGUUGGGCCGGAAAUGAAGGAGCAGGCUUGAUGAGCCUACCCUGGGGUUAUCCCCCCGACAGUAGUCCCUGAAGCUGGCGAGGUCUGCCGCUUGCGGGCGGGCGGCCUCACCGGCUUGUUGUCUUGUAUUGAUAUUUUGGCUGUUGUUUGUGGUGAAGGACGCCGACUUCGGAGCCGGGCAGCUUCGAAGCGACGCUUUGGUCCAGUCGUAACUGGCCCGGGGAGCGCCACGUCCAGGCCCCGCCUGGCAUAAUGAUGGCGAUUACUGCUUGACGGGACCGGGCCUGGGCCCUGGGUCCCGCCACGACGCCCCCCUCGGCCUCCACGUGGGAGAUCUUCUGCGGAUUUACUCCGCGACGGUUGGGCUUAGGGGAGCGUUACCGCCCGUAAUACAUGGAAUUAAUGGGGCCCGGCACGCACAGGAUCCCCUCCCCACAAGGCUUCGUGGGGUUUACAUGGGACAUGAGGGUUUUGAGGAGGCCAUUCGCCCCCUCUUCUCGCCCCGCUCCGUGCCUUCUUCCUUCUUGCGGCCUGAGAAGAAGAGCUCGUGGCCUUCAUCUCCUUCUUCUUCGCUGCCGAUACCUCCUCCGCCCGGUUCGAGCUCUCGCCACCUGUAUUCAUGGCCAGGGGAUCUUCUUCGAACAGGUCGUCGGCACAGCAGGCGUCCUCGCAGGGGGCGUGGCUGGGCAACAAUGUCCACGCGGGGCUCAUCGACGCGCUUCAUCAUCAUCGGCUGGUGCCCCCGGCCUCCCUAGUGUCCGUGCGCCUCCCUGGCUUCGAGGCCUCUCCCGCACCUGUCGCGGGAGAGGUGGUGGUCUUCGCCGAGCAUUUGUACCGGGGUGUCGGGCUCCCGGCUAGCUCUUUCUUCGCCGAGUGGCUCGAGUUCUUCGGCCUACAGCCGCUUCAUCUGGCGCCGAACGCCAUAAUGCAGCUGGCCGCCUUCGUGGUCGUGUGCGAGGGCUUCGUGGGGAUCAAGCCUCGCGUCGAUAUGUGGCGCAACUUGUUCUUCUUCAAGCAGCAAUCCAUCGCCAUGGAGAUAUCCGAGGUGGAGAAGCUGAAGGGGCCGCGCCCCAUGACGCCGUGCGGGGCCGCGUUGGUGCAUCACCGCCCGAAGUCCGGCUUCCCCCAGAUGCCUCUGCAAGACUCCAUCAAGCAUUAGCAGAAGGGGUUCUUCUAUGUGAGGAGCACCAACCCAGCCCAGGACGCCCUCAACAUGCCCCCGUUCGCCAUCGCCCCUCCGACGCGGCAGAACUGGGACACGGAGCCCCCCAAGCCGCAUCCUGAGGUGGUGCCCGUUCGCGCCCACCUCGACAUCUUGAGGGAGAGCGGCCUCCUUGGCCGCGACCUUCUCGCCGCCAUGGUGGUCCGCUGGAUUCUGCCUUUGCAGAGGCGGCCGCAUCUGGUCUGCCAGAUGAGCGACCGGCUUGAUCCGUGUCGGCUGUCCAUCAAGAGGCUCACCUCGGGCGCUAUGGGGCGGAGGGUGAACCUGCUCUCCACCGCCCGUAUGGAUGAGGGUGGGGAAUGGACGUGGGGGAUACCCCCGUUCAACCGGGCUCAUCCGCCUCCCAUGAUAGCCUUUCUCCCUUCUUUUCUAUCGUUUUGUUUUGAAGCCGGUGGCGUUUGCUGAGCCAGGUUGAAUUCCUUUUUUGUAGAUGUUCCAGACCCUGUAGGGGUCCCUCCCUCAGCCUGCUCCCGACAUGGAGGCAUCCGGCGCCUCCGAGAUGGAGGAUGAGGAUGCGAUGGAGCCCGGCUCGGACUCCACCGCCGGCACGGGAGAUCCCCUAGAGUCAGAAGGGACCGAGCCGUCUGGUGAGUACCCGCGGCACGCCCUAGCAGACUGGACGGACGACCAUGAGGAAGCCUCAUUCUGCUCUGAUGCAGCCUUUGAAGGAGACUCCGACGAGGUGGAGGAGGUCACCGGCCCACUACCGUUGCACGGCCGGCGUCAAGGCGGCGGAGCGACCGCUGCUGAUGACGCAGCCGAGAGGAAGGGCAAGGGUGCCACAGCUUCCCGGCCGGCCUCUAAGCGACCGGCGCCGGACCUCCAGUCGGGCAGCGGGCAGACGGCGCCAAAAGGCGCCGUGGCGGUGGCCGGAAGCAGGUCCCGGUAGCUGUCGGGUAUGGUUUCCUCCUUUUCUCUCUUCCGUAUUUUGAGAUGAACUUUGUUCCUAAGAAUCUUGGCUCGACAGGGAGGCAGAGGAUGCGGAUGAAGACACAACCUCCGCGGCCUAGCGGGCCGGCUGGGCAGCGGCUGAUGCUGCCGACAGGGAGCUGAGAUAGAGUCCAGGAGCCGGCGCCAUCGUCGUCCCCCAGCAGGGCUCUGUCGCGCCAACGGCAGGGGGCCAGCCUGGGAGCCGAUCCAUGAAGUCAUGGCGGGCGGCGAACGCGGCCCGCCUGCGAAUGCCUGCCGGCACCGUUCUUUCCGGUGUGCUAGAGCUCGUGACGCUGUUUGACAGCGGCGGUUGAAGGUGGAGGAGGCGGCCCGCGUGGUAUGCGGUUGCAUGGAGCGCCUGGAAGCCCGUACCCAGGUAGGCCUUGCCUGUUUUGGUUUUUCUUUGCUUUUUUCUCUUCCCUUGACAUCAGUGAGGGCGCGGCAGCGCACCCACUGGGUGUAGCCCCCGAGAAUCGGGCGGGUUGAUUGCCAACCGGUCCGAAUCUCUUGGAGGCCUUUUUCUUCUGCAUAUCUUUCUUGAGUGGCGGCGCGUAAGCGCACCCACUGGGUGUAGCCCCCGAGAAUCGGGCUGGUUUUGCUUUUAACCAGGUCGAAUCUUAAUCCUGUUCCCUUUCUCUCCCCUUCGGCAGGCGCUAUACGAUGCUCAGGUACAGGCGUACAACGAGCUUCGGGACGAGCACCUGGGGGCUGAUAGCCGGAUCAUCGAGAUUGAAGUCCGGCUAGGCAAGGUUGCCGCGGAGCGUGAUGCCCUUCGCAAAGCCGGCGGCCGGCUCCAAGAGCGGCUGGACCUUCUUCAGGCGGAGAAGAAGGGGCUCGAGGCGGUCGGCCCGGUUGAGUUGGAGCGGCUGCGGGCCACGCUGCAGGAGAAGGAAGCCUCCUACUCUGCAGACAUGGACCGCCUCGCGUCGCACCAUCUUGAGGAGGCAAACCUCAAGGACGCCGCCUUGAGGGCGAAGGACGAAGCCCUUAUCCAGAAGAAAACGCAGCUGGGUAAGGCGCUAGAGUCCGCCGCGACCCUCCAGGAGGAAAUCGCCCGCCUCACUCAUGCGAGUGAGGUGCGGGAGCGCAAGGUGCUCGAGGUCUUUCAUGAGACCAACGGCGCCUUCCAGCGUAGGUUUCAUUUCCUUGUUUUGCGUUUGGUUUUUUGGCCGUCUCCUCCUCUUGUUGUGUUCUUACGUCCCGGCUAUCUUUACCCCAGAUCUCUUCUCCGAGACCUAGGUCGCAGCCGACACCGCCGUUGAGGUGUGCCGCGAGGAGCGCCGCGCGGCUGGGCAGGAGGUAGAUACUGCCUCCGGCUGGAGCGUCGAGGAGAUCCGCGUGGGCCUUCGGGCCCGCCUGCACAUCCUGAGCGAGUCUGUGACUCAGCUCCAGGUUGCAGGUUCGUCUAUGGUGGCGGCCCUGUGGCCGGAGGGCGUGGAGCCGACGACCAUGAGCCGGCUUGCCCGCUGGCUCACAGCUGGUGGACAUCGUCUGACGCCUGGUGAGCCUCUGCCGCGCGGUCUGGGGCUUAUAUGGCCCUGCGCUUGGCCAGUCACGGUAUCGCAACCCGAACUUGGGCAAGCUAGCUUCCUAGCGCGAGGGCUCAGAGGCGGAGCUGCAAGGCAUGGAGGAGGAGCUCCGGGUGAGAGCCAGCGCCGUCGCCGAGUACGCCGCCUGGGAUGACUUCGUCUUGGAGCGGGGUGAGAACGGCGGCGUGAUCGCUGAGGAUCUGCACGGCCUUCAGCCUUACGACGUCGAUGGCAGCGCCGAAGAAGCGACCUGGGCUGCGGAAUCUGUAGCCGCCUCCAGCAGUGGGGCGUAUGCCGACUCUGGGAUCAGCGGAGCCGGGGGCCGCAACGGGGGAGACGGCGCAUCCACCUCGGGAGGAGCCGGAGGCGGCGAUGCCACCACAUCAGGAGCGGCAGCCGAGACGACCCUUGAGGCCGUUGUCCCAUAACUAGUGUCCUUUUGUGUUUUUUGUUCUACCCCCGGAGAGAUGUAUCGAACGUGGGCCGUGGGCCAAUGCUUUUUAUGAAUGUAUAUAUUCAGCAUUAUAUUCGUCGCCAAGCGUGUUGUCUUAUGAUCCCGUCUUUUGAUUCCUGGUUGAGUUCUCUUAUCCGAAGCCAUCAAGACGUAAAGAACAAGACAUAAGCCAAUCAGAGGUCGGCUAGAAUGAACCAACUCGAGCCGGUCGUCACUAGUAUAGCCGGACUGUGCAUGUAUUCGACCUGACCCAGCGUCACACCGCGAACCGAGCGAUCGGAGCUUGCCCGCAGGUUCAAGCGAUGGACCGGGAUUCAACCUGUACACUAUGUGCCCGACUACAAGGAUUGACCGUCCGAGCGGCUGGCGAGCCCCCGAGCUUGUUUGAAGCUAGCAAGGGGCCGCACGGCGUAGCCUCCGGGCUUAAGCAAGCCAGGAAGAGGUGGUACGCGGUGUAGCCCGUACACUGAGUGAAAACUCUUUUACUAAGAGAAAGCAAGGAGCCUGCUUUUUCUGCGUAGCCUCCGAGCUUAAGCAAGCCAGCAAGAGGUGGUACGCGGUGUAGCCCGUACACUGAGUGAAAACUCUUUUAGCAAGAGAAAGUAUGGAGCCUGCUUUUUUCGCCAUAUUUGUUGUUCCCGGCAGUCAGAGACCGUCUUGAGUCUUGAAGGAGAUCGUAUAUACGAUCGAGCCGGCCCGAGCCGGCCGUUCCAAGUAUAGCCGGACUGUGCAUGUAUUCGACCUGACCCUGCGUCACAUCGCGAACCGAGCGACCGGAGCCAGCCCGCAGGUUCAAGCGAUGGACCGGGAUUCAGCCGGUACACUAUGUGCCCGACUACAAGGAUUUGACCGUCCGAGCGGCUGGCGAGCCCCUGAGCUUGUUCAAAGCUAGCAAGGGGGCUGCGCUGCGUAGCCUCCGGGAUUAAGCAAGCCCGCAAGAGGUGGUACGCUGUGUAGCCCAUACACGGGAGUGAGAACUCUUGAUAAAAAAGAAACAUGGAGCAUGUCCUUUUUAUUGCCUUCUUCGUUCCCCGAGGAGGGAGGAAGACACAUGUGUAUGCUCUUUCCUUUGCUUGUCUUCCACCUUUUAGCAAUAGAACGGGUGAAGCAAUGCCGCGUUCCAUGGGCGCUCCGUUUCUUGGCCGGAGUCAUCCCUCUUGCGCUUCCUUGGCUUCUGGGCGUCAAUCAGGUAGUACGCAUUGUUGUGUAACGCCCCACUGAUGAUGAAGGGUCCCUCCGAGGGGGUGAGAGCUUGUGUUGGCCGGAAGUGCGCUGGAUUCUUCUGAGGACCAAGUCUCCCUCCCUGAAAGAGAGGGCCCUGAUCCUUUUGCUGUGGUAAUAUCUCAGCUGUUGUUGGUAGAUGGCCGUCCGGUUCAAAGCCAAGUCCCUUGCAUCCUCGAGGAGAUGCACACCAUCUUCUCUGGCCUCCUUCGCUUCCGUUUUUGUGUAUAGGGUGACCCGAGGCGAGUCGAAUUCGAAAUCCAUGGGGAUGAUAGCCUCAGACCCGUAUACCAGAAAGAAUGGAGUGAAACCGGUCGACCGGUUGGGCGUGGUGCGGAGGCUCCAUAGUACAGCCGGCAGUUCUUCGAUCCAGCAGUCGGCUGACCUGACCAGUGGUGCUACCAGCCUUGGCUUGAUGCCGGCUAGGAUCAGGCCGUUGGCCCUCUCUGCUUGGCCGUUUGACUGGGGGUGUGCCACUAAGGCCAGGUCGAGCCGGAUGCCUACCUUGGAACAGUAGAGCGCCAGGGCGCCCUUGGUGAAGUUGGUGCCGUUGUCGGUGAUGAUGUUGUGCGGAACGCCAUACCGGACACAGAUGUCUGUGAUAAACAUGACGAUAGUGGGGCCGUCAAGCUUCUUGAUAGGCCUGGCUUCGAUUCACUUGGUGAACUUGUCGACGGCUACCAGAAGAUGCGUCAUUCCUCCACGAGCCGUCUUGAAGGGCCCAACCAUGUCCAGUCCCCAGACCGCGAAUGGCCAUGACAAGGGAAUGGUUUUCAUCGCUGAAAGUGGCAUAUGGCUUUGUGCACUGAAGCAUUGGCAGCCUUCACAUUUGUCCACCCGAUCCACAGCCUCCUCGAGGGCCGUGGGCUAGUAGAGUCCAUGGCGGAAUGCUUUGGCCACCAGGGUUCUGGAGGCGGCAUGAUGCCCGCACUCCCCCUGGUGGAUGUCUCUGAGGAUAUCCUGCCCUUUUUCUGAUUCGACGCAGCGUUGGAACACGCCGGUUGUGCUGCGUCGCACCAGUUCGCAUUGAUGAUGGCGUAGGCGGUGGACCUGCGCUGGGUCUGUCUCGCCUCCGCCUCAUUCUGAGGACGUUCGCCGCGAAGAAGGAAAGCCAGAAUGGCCUGGGCCCAUGAUGGAGCCGACACAAGGGUCGCCUCCGCUUCGUAUUGACUGUUGGGGGCUUCUGCAGCCCCCGAGCUUGAUGGCGUCUCCGGUGCUAUUGUUGCAGCCGGCUCCUCGUCUAUCUCCAUGACGUCCACCCACUGGGAGGAUUCGAGCCCGGGCAAAGCCGGGGUUGUCGUUGUAGCUGGUGCUCUUGUUUGAGUCGGGUGGACCAAUGGAGCCGGAUUAGGAUCCGAGGCCGGCAUAGUUGGUGGAGCUGACGGCGCUUGCACCGUAGAUUCAGUCGGUGCCAUAUUUGGAGCAUGUGCUGCCACUGCAGCCGGCGUGGGGUCCGUAGCCUGCAUAACUGGCGGAGACAGCGGCGCUUGUAUCGUACAGUCGGCUGGUACGAAGAUUGAUGCCCACUCCGGAGACGGCUUGAUAGACGGCUUGUGGAGUUGCUCGAGGGAGACGCCGGCUGGGAUGGCCUGCCUUGUGGAGCCGAUCUUUGCCAGCAUAUCUGCCGCCUCAUUCUCCGCCCUGGGAACGUGGUGGAACUCACAACCCUCGAAGGGGCCGCUGAGCCACUGGAUGAGGAAGCGGUAACUUGCCAUGUUGGCGUCCCUGGCGUCCCAUUCGCCAGAGACCUGCUGCACCACCAGGUCCGAAUCGCCGAAGCAUAUGAGCCGCCGGAUGCCAAUCUCCUUGGCAAGCCGGAGGCCGUGGGCCAGUGCUUCAUAUUCGGUGACGUUGCUGGAGGCGGCGAAGUNNNNNNNNNNNNNNNNNNNNNNNNNNNNNNNNNNNNNNNNNNNNNNNNNNNNNNNNNNNNNNNNNNNNNNNNNNNNNNNNNNNNNNNNNNNNNNNNNNNNAUUAUUUUCAUUGGAGUUACAGAUUAAUUUCUAUGAAUUUUUGAAGUUUUAAACAUUUCUGGAAUUAUUUUUAUACUCGAAAGUACUUUUACUGCAUCAGCAUGACAUCAGCAGGUCCAACUGGCCGUUGAAAGUCAAACCUGACCAGUGGGACCCACUGGUCAGUGUCUCUGGUCAGUUUUGGAUUAAGAUUAAACUUAAUUAGCUGAUUAAUCUUACUGGUCCCACAUGUCAGUGACUUAUUAAAUUAUCUGAUUUAUUUUUAUUUUUUCUAAACUGUCCAGAGGCUGGCCCCACACGUCAGGGGCUCAGGCCAGCUAAGAUCCACCGGCCGCGAGGUCGUCCUCGCCGGCGGGGAGCCUCCGGCGACCGCCAGAACGUCGGGGGGGCUCGAAAAUGGCGCACAGAGGGCCAAACUCGGCGCGGAGAGCACCAGAGGAACGGCCACUUGAUGGCGCGCACGAUGGGACAAGCCCCAGGGGCUGGGGUGGCCGGAAUCAACGCCGGCGACGAGCUUGGUGGCGACCAAGUUCGGCCAUCGUGGAAGCCAUUGAAUAGGGGGUCAAAACGCGCGGGGCUGGGCACCUAACCUAUCUACAUGAUGUCUUGAGGCUGUUGGUGGCCUCAGACGGACCAACCCGUCACGGGAGGGCUACCGGCGACGAGCUGCAGCGGCAGUCUUCGUCGGGCUCCGAUAGAACUAAGCCUAGAGGAGGGGAUCGAUGGGGAGAGCUUAGGGGAAAUGACUGCAUGCUCACGAGGAGUGCAGUGGUGGCGCUAGUUUGCUCGGGGACCGCCUGGAGAGGGAGAACGCCGGCGGCGAUCUUCGGUGACCCGAGGAAGAAGACGACAGCUGCUCGUCGUUUCACUGCAUCUCAGCGUCGGGCUCGGGGCUAGGAAGCUUCAGGGAGGUGCGGUGGACCUACUGCGUGGCUCAGGAGGGAGAAGGGUCGGCUAGAUCGACGGCGAGCUCGAGCUCUGCUCGGGCUCCAAUGGCGGCAGAAGGAGGGAGAAGAGAUCCGAGAGGAGGGGGGGAACUGGCGCUGGGAAUGGAUAGCCACGGGCUCGGGGAGCUUAUCCCCGGGCUUGCCAGCGCGAGACGGUGGCCAGGCAGGCGCACAGGUGCGUGGCCACGCCGGAGUACGUGGCGGCCACCUCCUGCUGCCCACUGGCGGGGGAGGAAGACGACAGGAAUUGCUGGGCCGGGCCAGGUUAGGCGACAGGUAAGGAUUUUUCAAUUUUUUUCUGUUUUUGUUUCUGUUUUGCUAUUUCACUGAUUUUCUAUUUAUUUCAGCUCCCAAAUAAAUUGAAAAAACUAUGUUGAGCACCCUAGAAUAUUUGUUGGAAUAUUUCCAACCAUUCCUAAAGUUUUCAACAUUUUUGAAAGUUUAAAAUUUCUGAUUUCAAAUUUAAAACUUGAAACCAGUAGCUUUUUGCAUUUAUUUAAAAUGCUUAAAGUGUCAAGAAAAUGGUUUUCUUCAUUGCUCAUUUACUUUCCUGAUUUAUCAGAAAGUUUGAACUUUCCUUGAGGCCAUUUUGGGUUCGUUGAUUUUAGCUAGUUUGAAAUUUCCUUUAUUUAAAGAAGUGGCUAGGGUUUGAGUUUUUCCUUCACAUCUUUCUUUGUUCUUGUUGAAAAUUUCUUGGAUGCAAUGCAAAGAAGACAUGAGCACAAGACUAACUUGCUUAAGGUGUCAGGGAUGUGACAACUCACCCCCACUCAAAGGAAUCUCGUCCCGAGAUUUAGAAGUCGUCGGGAAUAACGCAGGAUACUCAAGUCGGAGACGAUCCUCUCUUUCCCAAGUUGCCUCCUUUUCAGAAUGAUUUGACCAUUGAACUUUAAGAAACUUGAGGUUUCAACGUCGAGUGGUACGCUCAGCUUGAUCAAGAAUACGCACGGGGUAUUCUCGGUAUGAAAGGUUAUCUUGGAGAUCAAGCGUUUCGUGGUCCACUUCGCGGAUAGGAUCCGAAAAGCAACGCCUGAGUUGCGAGACGUGGAAGACAUCAUGAGCCUUGGAAAGUUGUGGAGGAAGUUCCGACUGGUAGGCAACUUCUCCUCGUUUGGCAAGAAUGUGAAAAGGACCAAUGUAACGAGGAGCCAACUUGCCCUUGAUACCGAAACGAUGGGUACCCUUCAAAGGUGUAACCCGAAGGUAAGCCUUCUCGUCAACUUCAAAGGUCACAGCCUUAUGAUGACGAUCAUAUUGGCUCUUUUGACGAGACUGGGCUGUUUUCAACUUUUCACGAAUAAUGCGAACCUGCUCUUCUGCAUCCUGGAUCAUAUCCGGGCCAACGAGUUGCCUCUCUCCGGUUUCUGACCAAUUAAGAGGUGUUCGACAUCUUCGUCCAUAGAGAACUUCAAAAGGGGCUUUGCCCAAGCUUGAUUGGUAACUAUUGUUAUAAGCGAAUUCGGCGAAUGGAAGGCACUUCUCCCAAUUCAUACCGAACGAUAUAACACAAGCUCGGAGCAUAUCUUCUAGGAUUUGAUUCACUCUUUCUACUUGACCACUUGACUGGGGAUGGAAAGCAGUGCUAAAAGAUAAGUGAGUCCCCAUGGCAUUCUGAAAACUUUCCCAGAAGCAAGAAGUAAAGAUACUUCCACGGUCCGAGUUAAUCUCCAGGGGAACACCAUGAAGAGACACUAUUCGGGAGAUAUAUAACUCUGGUAGCUGGUUGGCUGUUAUACUCUCACGAACAGGAAGAAAAUGAGCCACUUCGGAAAGACGGUCAAUGACCACAAAGAUAGCAUUAUUUCCUUUCUUGGUCUUGGGAAAUCCGGUAAUGAAAUCCAUGCUAACUUUAUCCCAUUUCCAUUCAGGAAUAGCUAGGGGUUGAAGGGUGCCAGCAGGCCUUUGAUGUUCUGCCUUAACUCGACGACAAACGUCGGAGUUAGCAACGAACUCAGCAAUUUCUCUCUUCAUCCUAGUCCACCAGAACCUCUGGCUUAGAUCCUGAUACAUCUUAGUACUACCGGGAUGAAUGGUGAGAGGAGAAUCAUGAGCCUCCUUAAGGAUUAACUUCCUUAGAUGUGGGUACUUAGGAACCACUAGACGAUUCUGGAAGAACACAACACCUUGAUCGUUCAUGGAAAAUUCUUUAGCAUUUCCGCUAAAAAUAUUAUCCUUGAUCCAUGAUAUACCCUUGUCACGCUUUUGGCCAGCUAUAAUUUGAUCCUUAAGAGUAGGCUUCGCCACCAGGGCAGAAAGGAAUCCUUGAGGAACAAUAUGAAGAUUCAACUUCCGAAAGUCCUCAUGGAGAUGUGGUUGACCUUGUUGUAGCAUCAAAUUGUUACAAUAAGAUUUACGACUUAGUGCAUCGGCCAUAACAUUGGCCUUCCCCGGGGUGUAAGUUAUCCCUAAGUCGUAAUCCGAGAUCAACACAACCCACCGUCUUUGCCUGAGAUUCAUAUCCGGUUGGGUGAAAAUACAUUUCAGACUUUGGUGAUCAGUGAAUAUUUCGCAACAAUUACCCAGAAGGUAAUGUCGCCAAGUUUUUAGUGCAUGGACCACAGCUGCAAGCUCAAGGUCAUGUGUGGGAUAAUUAUCCUCAUGUGGACGCAACUGUCGAGAUGCGUAUGCAAUCACAUGACGAUCUUGCAUGAGAAUGCAACCUAAUCCUUCUCGCGAGGCGUCGCAAUAGAUAACAAAGUCCUUAGAAAAAUCUGGUGGUAGCAACACAGGUGCGGAAGUCAGGCGUCUUUUCAGUUCCUAAAAACUAUGCUCACACUGUGGUGUCCACUCGAACUUUUUAUCCUUCUUGAGGAGUUCAGUUAGAGGCUUUGCAACCUUGGAGAAAUUCUCGACAAAGCGGCGACAAUAGCUCGCUAGACAAAGAAAACUCCUAACUUGCUUAACCGAUUCAGGUUGAGUCCAAUCAAGGACAUCUUGAACUCUCUCAGGAUUGACAGCAAUACCCUUACCAGAGAUUACGUGUCCUAGAUAGGUCACUUCUGGUAACCAGAAUUCACAUUUUGAAAACUUGGCAUAAAGGCGAUGCCCUCGAAGUUUCAUCAAUACCAGCCUUAGAUGCUCGGCAUGUUCUUGUUCAUUCUUCGAGUAGAUGAGAAUAUCAUCGAGGUAUACCACGACGAAUUUAUCCAAAUACUCCAUGAAUAUUGAAUUCAUCAGACGAGAGAAGGUGGCUGGGGCAUUGGUUAACCCGAAGGAAAUGACGGUGUACUUGUAUUGGCAUAACGAGUAACAAAAGCCGUUUUUGGAAUGUCCCCGUUCUUGAUCUUGAUUUGAUGGUAUCCCAACCUCAAAUCAAUUUUGGAGAAGACUGAGGAUCCAGCGAGCUGAUCCUACAGAUCGUUGAUCCUGGGGAGCGGAUACUUGUUCUUUAUGGUGACCAGAUUAACUGGUCGGUAAUCUACAACCAUCCGAUCCGUUCCGUCUUUCUUCUUGACGAAGAGGACGGGGCAAGCCCAAGGAGAAGAGCUAGGACGAAUGAAACCUUUGUUCAAGGCCUCAUCUAAUUGCUUCUUAAGUUCAGCUAGCUCCAGGGGUGCCAUCCUAUAAGGUCUUCUGGCUAUUGGGACAGUUCCCGGAACAAGAUCUAUCACGAACUCUACAUCUCUGUCAGGUGGAAUUCCUGGCAGUUCCUCUGGAAAGACAUCCGAGAAGUCACGAACUACCGGAAUGUCUUCAAGUUCCGGAAGAGGGUUGGCAUUUAGGGAAUAGAGUUGGCAUUUGGCAACUCGAGUAGAGACAUUUACUAUCUCACCCGAGGGAUGGGUAAGUUGGACAUUUCUAGAAUGGGUAUCAAUCUUGGCAUAGUGAGCUGACAUCCAGUCCAUGCCCAAGAUGAUAUUAAUAUCCGAAGAUUUCAAUGAUAUCAAUGAGGCUAGAAAAACUAGCCUGUCUACUAGAAUUUCAUUGUCAUAGGUUAUCCUAGAGGUUUGCCAUUUACUACCAGGAGUUUGGACAACCAAAGGAAUUGGCAUAUCACAAAAAGACAUGUUAUGCAACUGUGCAUAACUUUCUGAGAUGAAGGAAUGAGAAGACCCAGUGUCAAAGAGAACGGAUGCUGGGUGAUGAUUAACAAGAAGCAUACCCAGCAUGACGUCGGGAUCCUCUGCAGCUUCUUCUGCUGACACAUAGUUCACACGGCCACGUGCAGGAGUUGGCUUCACAUAGUAAGCUUUGCCCGACUUGGCUUGCCCGGCGGACUUUCCGGGUUGCUUAGCACCCACAUUCUGAGGACACUCAUGGGGAUAGUGCCCUGGUUCUCCACACUUGUAGCAUAUCACUUGGUUGGCACGUGGUGCAGCAUUGCUAGCUGAACCACCAUAACCUUUGGCUGGAGGGUUGGCCUGAUUCGUCUGAGGCGCCACGUAGGAUGGCCUCGGAGUGUAUCUUGGCGGGAGAGAACUGUUCGGAACCCACAGCCUGCGUUUGGGAAACGCGGAACCAGAAGACGAGCCAAAGUCACGGGAGUGCUUCCUUGUGGCUUCAAAGUCAGUAUGACCAGUCUCGGCACUGAUCGCCUUGUUGACCAGAGCUUGAAAGCUUGCACACUCGUGGAGGCGCAGAUCACGACGAAGCUCAGGGCUCAGACCCUUACGGAAUCUUGCUUGCUUCUUGGCAUCAGUAGACACCUCCUCUGUUGCAUAGCGGGCGAGGUUACUGAACUCGCAGAUAUAGGCAUCCACAGACAACUUGCCCUGAGUGAAGGCACAUAACUCCUCUCUCUUUCUGUCCAUCAGGCCCUCUGGAAUAUGGUGCAGACGAAAAGCUGCACUGAAGUCUGCCCAUGUGGCUACUAGUUCAGCGGGACGCAUAGCUUCAAAGUUCUCCCACCAUAGAUUGGCGGGUCCCUCCAGGAAAUACGCCGCAAAGGUCACCUUGUCGGCCUCAGACACAUUCGUAGAGCGAAUCUUGCGUGAGAUGCUGCACAGCCAGUCAUCAGCGUCGAGGGGAUCGACGGAAUGAUGAAACUUUAGAGGAUUCAGCUUCACAAAGUCAUUGAGGGACACUGCAGCAUUCCUAGGCUGACGAGCCGUAUUCUGCUCAAUACGCUCUAACAGUCGGUUGGUCUCCCUUUUAUUUCUCUCUGCCUCAAGCAUCACUUCCGCCAGAGAGGGCGGGUGAGGCAGGUCUUCCUGCGACGCUUGACUACCCUCGCUUUGCUCAUGACCAGGGGCACGGCUCAACCUGGUGAACACCAUCCUGACAAACAAACUCACAGCUUAGACCAAUAUCACAUCAAUACUAGCUAUGCAUUAAGAAUGUACUGAACACACGGAAUGGGGAAAUGAAUAUCCGAACAGCAUGGUAACAAGCAACUGCUAUAUAUACACCAUGGUUCAUACACACCCUUACAUAGUUCAGUACAACCUUAACUGAAGAGCAAACUACUGAAAUUAUGAAACUACUCAUCAGAGGCUUACAAGCUUCCUAUACAUUAUUUAUCUAGGCCUCCGGAAUUCAUUUCACAUUACAGGCAUACUUCACAAGUCACGCAGGACUGUGAACGUACGGCUACUACCAUACUAUCCUUCCGCUCACAGCUCAGGCAUCCGCAUAGAACAUCUCAUAGAGAUUACCUCCAUGACCUGGAAGCUCAACCUGCGGAUCAGGAAACACUCUAGCGUGAGAUCCCUGGGAUCCAUAAGGACACGGAUGUGGCCUUGGUCCCCUGACUGGUGGUAAGAGGGGUCCCCGAAGAGAUGUGACUCCUCCUAUAGCUGGCCAGUCAACGUGAGCUGGAAGAUGGGUCCUAACAGGGUUCAGCAUCUCCAUAUCUCCGUACCCUGUCUGGACUACCGGUGCCAGCUGCGUCAAAGCCAUCCACAGACGGGCACGGGUAGCAUAAAGCUCCAUGCGGAGAGCACGAGCAUCCCUGUCUCUGUUCUCUAGCAUCUCAACAAUGGACUACAGUAGUGGAUCCUCCAUAGAAGAAUCAAAAUAGACUCCACUGAGGUAUCCCUCUUCACCAGGCUGAGAGGCCGAAACAUAGUAGCACUCUGAAUUAUGCAACAGUGCAUGUCUCGCUCUCAUAAUGGUCAGCAUUGAAUAAGCAGCAUCUUGUACUGCCAUGUCAACAGUGACCCCCAACCCAUAGGACCAAUGGAUUGGCUCCUCAGCUCCAGGGUAGUCUGGAAAUACCCUAACAGUGCAGAUGUACUGGCUCUGGUUGAAGUCUCGGUACUGUUCCUCCACUGUGUACUCCGGGUACCAGCGGUAACCGCACACCGACAUCAUCCUGACCAGCAUGGCCGUAUGACCCAGUACAUCAAUGCACCUGGUCAGACGUACCACCUGACGAGAAGGACGGCCAGGCAUCUGUAAAUAGAGAGCAAUGCAAAAGCAUUAGAGCUCUGAAUGCAAAAUUGGGCAGCAUAACGGCUGUAAAUGCUCAAAAACAAAUUUUGAGACAACCCAAAAUGGAAUAGCAUAACCACUCGACUAUCAAGUUCAACUCUCUGGUCAUCAAACUUACUUCCUUUUUCCUAGGAAUGAAGGAAACCCAAAUAUCUCUUGACCCAUAGUCCUAUAAUCUACCGAUCAGAAACACGAGCCUAGAAGAAGAUGAGUAACCUAGUCCUUAAUUCCCACAGAAAAGACGAGGAUGACCAGAGUAGAAUAACUUGAGAAGAGAACAAGAGUCUUACGUUUCCCUCCACAAACAAUUCCCUUAUAUAUAACUAAAGCAAUUCUAGACUCAACUUCGACCAGUUUGGCUUAGUAAUUCUACAGUCAGUCAGGCUCUGAUACCAACGCUGUCGGGACCCCGAUCCUAAGUCAUAGGAAUCCAGCCUGUAACACAUCGCAUCUCUUUGCGGUCUCACGCACGGUUAACUCCACGGCUGCAGCCUUACCUUAGCCGGGACCAUUUGCGUCUUUUGACUCACGUAUGCAAUAGUGUCGCUAGCAUUCCAAUGUCAAAGAACCCGGAUCGACAAUUCUAGUCACAAACCAAAGUGGCAGUACCGCACAAGGACAAGCAUACAUGACCCAACAAAGCAGGUGUCGGUCACCAGCGAGUGUAGACGAGUCGUAGCAAGCUACAAGGACUCCAUUACAUCGCGUGACGUUUCCCCAAAGGGGACAGACACAGCAGCUAAGAAGGACACAUGCCGGUCAACCAAUGUGUCCGGAGCAGUAGCGAACUACCAUGGCUCGUUGGAUCACAAAGGGGCAUUUCCUUGUAAGGAGUGCUACUAAAGUUCACAACUAGGUAAUCGAACCCCAUACAUAUCAAGUACGACACACGUACGCAUGGCAUAUCGAUAUGUAUAGAUACAUCGAUGGCAUCACAACAUAACCAUAACAUAUAAACUUUAUUUAAGAGGCUCGGAAGAGCCUCACACAUAAUAUUACACAUUAAGGGUCUCACGACCCAUAAUAGCAGUCAUUCAGUUACAAGCCAGCGGAAGAGCUUAAAACUGUCUGAGUACAGAUAGGUGCAACUAGAAGGCACAUGGCCUGACUAUACUACAGACCCAACCUAGGGACAGAUCGUAGCUGGGACACCAGCUACUCGUCGCCGUCGAUGUCUACGAAGAACCCUCCAUUAGGGUCAUUAGCAACCUCUGCAACAUUUAUUAAGAAACCAUGAGUAAGAAGGUACUCAGCAAGACUUUAGGAUAAGUAUCUACUCAUGCAAGGUAUCAAUAAGGUAUUGUGGGGUUUCAUGCGGAAAGCCAGCAUUUGACUCGUGGCUAGACAACUUACAUUUUUAAAUCAUUUUGACAACUUGAUUUCUCGCACACGAGUCCACUAACUACCACAACAAUACACCAUCGUGGAAUCAUUCUGUCUCCAUACGGAAAUGCCGUCCACGACACUCACGCUUAUCUUGACAAUUUUAUGAGUAGGCAUUGAAGUUAUCUAUGAACAACAUAUGUCUCCAAGUAGUCCAUAACCGCGGACGCGGCUAUUCGAAUAGAUCAUAACCCUGCAGGGGUGUACUUCCUCACACACGCUCUCGCCACUUAUCGCCAUGUGCACGUCAUGCACCUCGGCAACCUUCAAGCGGAAGCCCAGCGAGGGAGUCGGCCACGACCGUUAACCACACUAGUACCUAGUCCAGGUUUAUCGCCUAUCUGAGAGUAACCCGUACGGAAGUCCGGCCGAGGUUUCCGACACGGCCUCAAACGAUGUGCGCAGGGUUCCAAAGCCCACCAUCCGGGUGCCACUGGGUACACCGUGCCACUGCCUACCGCAUCACAGCCCACCUCUCAGGUCAGCACCAUGCACGGCCUCCAGCAUUACUAUAAACACCAGAAACUACUUGCAACUCCUGGACCGAGUACUAAGCGAUUAAUAGGGCGAGCGGGGUCAUAUUUCAGGGCCCAGCAUGUGGUAGUAUUUUGUCUUGGAUUACAUACACGGAACUUAGUUCCUAAGGACGGUUCCAAUGAAACAACCCGCCAUGGACUCCUACACAGCCUUUCACCGGUACCUUUACCAACUCAAGUUUAACACACAACCUUUGCUUACCGAACACAUUCUCACAAUUCUGGUCAUCUCCCACAUGACAGACCAUACACAACUCUAAGCAUAGCAUGCAUAGCAGGAUAAGUCACAUCAUUGCUCAAGCAACUACCAGGUAUGCUAGGUUGCAAGGUUCGGCUAUUUACUGUGACAAGGAUAGGUCAUGCAAAGGAAGUGGGUUCAACUAACGUGGCAAAAGUAGUUGAAGCAUUUGAUCCUAAUGCAAUAAAUAAGUGCAGGAGCAAGAACAUGGGAUUUAUCGGUAUGAUCAAAAUGGUUGCUUGCCUUGUUGCUCAUAGGAGGGACAAUAUUCGUCAGACGGAUAUUCGGUGGAAUCCAGGGGUGCGGAGCCUACCGAAAGAAAUGACAACAAUCAAUNNNNNNNNNNNNNNNNNNNNNNNNNNNNNNNNNNNNNNNNNNNNNNNNNNNNNNNNNNNNNNNNNNNNNNNNNNNNNNNNNNNNNNNNNNNNNNNNNNNNUUAUUUUCAUUGGAGUUAUAGAUUAAUUUCUAUGAAUUUUUGAAGUUUUAAACAUUUCUGGAAUUAUUUUUAUACUCGAAAAUACUUUUACUGCAUCAGCAUGACAUCAGCAGGUCCAACUGGCCGUUGAAAGUCAAACCUGACCAGUGGGACCCACUGGUUAGUGUCUCUGGUCAGUUUUAGAUUAAGAUUAAACUUAAUUAGCUGAUUAAUCUUACUGGUCCCACAUGUCAGUGACUUAUUAACUUAUCUGAUUUAUUUUUAUUUUUUCUAAACUGUCCAGAGGCUGGCCCCACACGUCAGUGGCUCAGGCCAGCUGAGAUCCACCGGCGGAGAGGUCGUCCACGCCGGCGGGGAGCCUCCGGCGACCGCCAGAACGUCGGGGGAACUCGGAAAUGGCGCACAGAGGGCCAAACUCGGCGCGGAGAGCACCAGAGGAACGACCACUUGAUGGCGCGCACGAUGGGACAAGCCGCAAGGGCUGGGGUGGCCGGAAUCAACGCCGGCGACGAGCUUGGCGGCGACCAAGUUCGGCCAUCGUCGAAGCCAUCGAAUACAGGGUCAAAACGCGCGGGGCUGGGCACCUAACGCAUCUACAUGAUGUUCUGAGGCUGUUGUUGGCCUCAGACGGACCAACCCGUCACCGGAGGGCUACCGGCGACGAGCUGCAGCGGCGGUCCUCGUCGGGCUCCGAUGGAACUAAGCCUAGAGGAGGGGAUCGAUGGGGAGAGCUUAGGGGAAAUGACUGCAUGCUCUCGGGGAGUGCAGUGGUGGCGCUAGUUUGCUCGGGGAUGGCCUGGAGAGGGAGAACGCCGGCGGCGAUCUUCGGUGACCCGAGGAAGAAGAUGACAGCUGCUCGUCGUUUCAAUGCAUCUCAGCGUCGGGCUCGGGGCUAGGAAGCUUCAAGGAGGUGCGGCGGACCUACUGCGUGGCUCGGGAGGGAGAAGGGUCGGCUAGAUCGACGGCGAGCUCGAGCUCUGCUUGGGCUCCAAUGGCGGGAGAAGGAGGGAGAAGAGAUCCGAGAGGAGGGGGGAACUGGCGCUGGGAAUGGAUAGCCACGGGCUCGGGGAGCUUAUCCCCGGGCUUGCCAGCGCGAGACGGCGGCCAGGCAGGCGCACAGGUGUGUGGCCGCGCCGGAGUACGCGGCGGUAACCUCCUGCUGCCCACUGGCGGGGGAGGAAGACGAAAAGAAUUGCUGGGCAGGGCCAGGUUAGGCGACAGGUAAGGAUUUUUCAUUUUUUCUGUUUUUGUUUCUGUUUUGCUAUUUCACUAAUUUUCUAUUUAUUUCAACUCCCAAAUAAAUUGAAAAAAACUAUGUUGAGCACCCUAGAAUAUUUGUUGGAAUAUUUCCAACCAUUCCUAAAGUUUUCAACAUUUUUGAAAGUUUAAAAUUUCUGAUUUCAAAUCUAAAACUUGAAACCAGUAGCUUUUUGCAUUUAUUUAAAAUGCUUAAAGUGUCAAGAAAAUGGUUUUCUUCAUUGCUCAUUUACUUUCAUGAUUUAUCAGAAAGUUUGAAAUUUUCUUGAGGCCAUUUUGGGUUCAUUGAUUUUAGCUAGUUUGAAAUUUCCUUUAUUUAAAGAAGUGGCUAGGGUUUGAGUUUUUCCUUCACCUCUUUCUUUGUUCUUGUUGAAAAUUUCUUGGAUGCAAUGCAAAGAAGACAUGAGCACAAGACUAACUUGCUUAAGGUGUCAGGGAUGUGACAUUUUCUCCCAUCCACUGUGAUGAAGGAGGACGUCUUGGAUCUCGCGGAGCAUGGGAUGGUGGUCGAGAAAUCAUGGAGAUUGCUAGAGGGGGAGCUUAAGCCGGUGCCUCGUGAGGGGGAGCAAGUCCUUCUCCUCACACACAUCGAAUGGUUUUUCUCUCCCUCCGGACCCUUUUAUUCAGGGCUUCCUCUUUUACUUCGGGCAUGGCUUCACCAUCUCCCACCGAAUACCAUUGCGUACCUUUCUCCGUUCAUCACUUUGUGCGAGUGUUUUCGGGGCUGUCCUCCUCACUUGGGAUUGUUCAAGCAUAUAUUCACUACACUAUCUCAAACGGUGAAAGAAGUGAACCCAGGUGAUACUAGGACCAACGUCAUACAGUUGUGUGGCGGUUUAGGAAUACAGAAAAGAGGUAGGAGCGCCUAUCCCCAUAUGACCCUUCCUGAAUCGGUCCGGAAUUGGCAGUCGACAUGGUUCUAUUGCAACGAUAUCGCAUCUCCGAACAUGUCGACUGGCCUCCCUCCUUUCACCUUAUAUCAUCCGACUGCCCCUAGAAUACUGAUUGUAUUCGAGGAUGAGAAGGCAGAGGUGGAGAUGUUGGUGGGUGAGGUGAUCCACUUGGUCCGGAAUGGACUGACUGGAAUGGAUCUGUUGGAGACGUUCCUUAGUCGGCGCAUCCAGCCUCUUCAGGCGAGGGACCAUGCCAGGUGGCAUUACUCCGGCCCUGAAGAUUCCACUCGGUCACAUCCUAAGGAAGUUUCAGAGCAUCAUCGGGCCCUGCGAUAAUCCCAUGGGAUCCAAACGAGUCGUGCCUUACUCUACUGAGAAUAAGCCGCGGAAACUGGUAUGUGAUAUCUUUUCUGAUUAUGUUCAUGUCUUCGUCAAGUGACUGCUUACUUGUCCAACUGACUCUGCUGUCUUUGCUCUUUGUAGGAGUGGAUGAACCUGCACUCUCCUGUACCCAACGGAGAGCAUUUUGAUCUCGGGUGGAGAGUGAAGGUGGCAGCGCCGGCAGUGUGUAUGUUGAGGAUAGUGAAGAGAGUGAAGAUGCCUGAGAAGACAGCGAAGAAGAAAUACAGUCUCCUCCACGCCACAAACAUGAUCCAAACAACACCAUGACCCAGCGACUGCUCCGUGCAAAACGGUCGCCUCCAGCAGCAGGAAUGUGAAAUGUGACCAAGCCACUUCAACUGACUCCUCGAAGAAGACUGCGAAGCAUCCCAAGCGUGAUGCGCCCAAGCUUCGGAAGGUUUUGCCCCGAAUGAGAAUCGUUGUGCUGGUUGCCUCAUCGUGAGUAUUCGUCCUUUUCAUUUUGCCAUUAUGUCUUUCUGGGUUUUAGAUAACUGAGUGUAAUUCACUCGUGAGAAUCUACUUAGACGUCGUGGAUAAGCCUGCUCCUUGACCAGGUAUGAUAAGCAUUAAUUUUACUCCGUUUUAUGGAUUGGAUGUGUCGAAUGAUCUGGUCAUUACUGUUGCAGCUUGAGACAUCAUUUUCUUAGAUCACGAACAAGUGCCGCAGCAUAUAGCUGCAGAACAGACUCAAAC
rnacentral:lncRNA from 1 species